CUCGAUGAAUUUGGGGGCCAACAAGUUUUCUGGUAAUGUGCCUGUCUGGAUUGGGGAAAACUUAUCAAAGUUGUAUGUUCUUAUCCUAAGAUCAAACAAAUUCUUUGGAACCAUCCCACAAAAGUUAUGUCGGUUAGCUAAUCUUCAAAUUCUAGAUCUGUCAAUGAACAAUCUCAAUGGAACCAUCCCCUCAUGUUUGAGUAAUCUUACAAGCAUGCUUCAACAAGGAGGAUUCUCACAAGAUGUGCAGCUUAAUACAACUUACAGAGCUUAUGAAUAUAAACAGGAGACAUACGUUGACCAUGCGAUGAUUGAGUGGCAAGGAGAUGAACGCGAAUUCGUUAGCAUUCUGAAAUUGUUAAAGAUCAUUGACCUGUCAAGCAACAAGUUAACAGGACAAAUCCCACAUGUAGUUACCAAUCUUUCUGACUUAGUUGCCUUGAACUUGUCAAGGAACGCUCUAUCUGGAGAGAUUCCACAGAAAAUUGGUGAGAUGAAAAAGCUUUUGACUUUGGAUUUAUCCAGAAAUAAUUUCUCAGGGGGGAUACCAUCAAGCAUGUCUCAGAUGAGUUUACUGAAUGACCUAGACUUGUCAUACAAUAACUUGUCAGGGAGAAUCCCAUCAAGCACUCAACUCCAGUCCUUUCCACCUUCAAGAUAUGUUGGAAACAGAGGACUAUGUGGACCUCCUCUUAACAAAAAGUGUCCUGGAGAUGAAGAAUCAGAAUCACCACCAAUCAUUGGUAAAAGUGAGGGUGAUGGGGAAGAAUGGGGAUGGUUUUAUAUUGGUGGGGGCAUGGGUUUUGCCACUGGAUUUUGGAUAGCAUGUGGGGCUUUACUUGUCAACCGUCGAGGGAGGCGUGCAUUUUUUCACUUUUUUGAUAGUUUCAAAGAUUGGGUUUAUGUGAAGGUGGUUGUGUUCGUUUCAAGUUUGCAAAAAGGUAGACAGAUGUAGUUUGUUAUCUAAUUCUUAUUUUUGACUUCUUAUUUUCCAGUAUACAAUGUAAUAUGGUAGUGGUUUUUAAUCCCCCAAUAUCAAUAAAUUAAGGCCACUUUUGGCGCAUUUCUGCGACUCGGUAUGUGGUAAUUAAGUGCACUUUAUUUAUGUUUAUAAAAAACGGGCUUUUAAUUAGAUGGGUGGCCAUUAGGUUUAACUAAUAAAAAACUCUUACAAACCAAGAGUCACACGACACGACAUGAUUCAUUGGCAAUAAAAAAAAAUAGAUAACAUAGUAAUGUAAGUAUGUAACACUCUAAUGAAUCGUUCUCUGCAUGCAUGUAAAUUGUAUAGAAAUUGUGUCUGUAAUUUGUAAUCUGUUUGACUGAUUGACUGACUGUAUAUGCUACAUUAUGAUUGUAAUGUGUAAAUCUGUAUGUAAGAUGCAUGCUAGUACAUUGUUAAUUUGCUACUUAAUACUUAUGCUGUUAAUGUUAUAAAUGAAAUAAUGAAUUAUGAAUCAGGUCUGUUACUCUGUAUACUCUCUCUAUAUUUCUCUCUUUCUUAAUUGUUAUGUGAUCAACUAAUCAUUGUUUUAUACUUAUGUUGUAUUGCUGUAUUGCUGAUUUGCUGUUAAUUAAGUGUUUACCUGUAAAGUCAAAAGUGUAAACUGUUAUGAACUUAUAAUUAUGAUGUAAUGCUGUUAACUGUUUGACUGUUUCAGUGUUUUGUCAGUUGUCACUGUUAUGUACUUAUGUUAUAGCGUUAUUUUAUACAAGAUUACAAAUUAAUAUGUUUUGAUAUUUUGAUGUUUUCUGAAUUCUAAUUUCUAUUUUGUUAUACAUAAUGGUUUCAACUUCAGAUGACCAAGGUAGGAGAUAUGGUGCACAAGAUCCGAGUAAUAAAAACAAUGUGUGCUCUUUUUGUGGAUAAGUUCUGAAAGGAGGAGUAUAUCGCCUCAAACAACACUUAAUUGACGGGCAUAAAGACGCAAAGAAAUGUCCAAAUUGUCCGGAGCAUGUACGAGAAGAAUGUAGGACAUUCAUGCAAAACAAGCAAUCAAUAAAGGCACAACAACAUAUGGAAGCAAGUUUUCAGAUGCAACAACUGUUGGAAAUAUUACAGCCUUAUACAGCUGUUGACUGCUAUAUUUAUAAGUUGCAUAAUGGCCAAAAUUAUCUCUGUGAUUGUCAUUGUAUUAGAUGUAUUUUUAGCUCUUAAUUCUGUAAUUAGAGUAGAUUAUCUCUUUCCUUGUUUAGGCUAUUUCUUUCAUGUAUAUAAAUUGUUGUGAUGUGAAUAAGAAAAAUACAAUCGAAAAAAACUUUUCACCCUUUGUUUCAUGGUAUCAGAGGAGGUUCAUCCUAGACAUGAUCAGAAAAUCUCUCUUUUAAUUUACUUUCCUGAGAUUUUUUUCUUUCUAACCCUAAAAUCAGAUCUAUGGCCGGAGGAAACCAAUCCAAUGUCACUAACAGAUUUUGCUUUAUCCACAACAAAACCCUCUCUCCUUUCUACUCCUGACCUUGGGCAUACUCUGCAAAUCACCCAACACACACUAAACAGUCAAAGAAUGGUAUCAAUCUGUUUUGUUAGUCAUCCCAGGGGAAGUAGGCUAUGUUACCGGUGAAACUUGUCAACCGAAACAGGAUGAUGCAAGUUAUCAACAAUGGGAAGCAAAAACCCCCCAUUAUCAUGGCAUUACUUAUCAACUCCAUGGAGACAUGAAUUGGCAGGACAUUUUUAUUCUACAACAACGCCCAUGAAAUCUGGAAAUGUGUCCAAGCGAUGUAUUCAUAUCUUGAAAACACAUCUCAGUGUUUUGAGAUUCGCUCGACUCUAAGAUCCACCCGCCAAGGAACAAUGACAGUUACUUAUUAGUCGUGUAUAUUCUAUUUAUUAUAUAUGUAUAGAGUGUAGGUACCUAAGUGUAAAAUAUUGUGUUUAGGUCAAUCUCAUGGCCACUAUUUAUAUCUCACGGCUGGAUCAAUAAAGAACAGGGAAAAUAUUUUGCGUUAUAUUGUGUGUUAUAUUAUGGUAUCAGAGCUCUCUUUCUGAAAACCUAACCCUACUAGCCGUCGUUCCUUCACAAUCUCUUAUCUCCUUUUUUUUUUUUUUCUGACUACUCUCGAGAUGGAAAGAGCUCAGUACACUUCAUGGGCUGAGUUGUUUAGAAUCCAUUGUCGUGCAUUCCAGGUCAUUGAUCAUAUUGAACCCAAAGCUACAAUCAUCUCCUCCUCCACCACUAAUAAAGUCGGGGUUGAUAAACCAGCAGAUCCCAAACCAAUGGAUCCUGAUCUAUGGAAUCGAUUAGAUGCCAUUGUCAUCCAAUGGAUCUACAGUACUAUCUCGAAUGAUCUCCUCCAAACCAUUCUAAAACCGAAAGCUAGUGCAGCGCAGGCAUGGGCAGCCCUCGAGAGUGUUUUUCAAGACAACCAGAAUGAGCGUGCUCUCUACUUGGAACACAAACUAGUCACCAUUAAGCUUGUAAAUUUCUCAAAUUGCUUUGCUUACUAUCAGACGUUGAAGAUGAUCUCUGAUCAACUUUCUAAUGUUGGCGCCCCUAUCACUAAUCAACGACUCAUCUUACAGCUCAUUGUUGGUCUUACGGAUGCAUACGAAGGGAUCGCCAUGAUGAUCCAGCAAAUCAAGCCUCUUCCGGAUUUCUAUGAAGCACGCUCUCGUCUCAUCUUGGAAGAAACAAGUAAAGCCAAUCAUGCAACCCAGUCUGCUGUUGCAGAUGCAUUUGCCCUCAAUGUUUAGACUCAACACACUUGUCUCCCCUUACCCUACAAACGACUACAACAACGUCACUAGGGGACGUGGACGUAGACGAGGCACUAGAGGUCGUGAUCGUGGCAGAUGAGGUGGUAACUACACAGGUGGCAACCGUGGACAGCACCAACAAUUUCACCAAUAGACUCAUACUCCCUUCUGGCAGAAUCAACCUCAGUGGGCUCCUCAACCAUCCUGGAAUGCAUUGCCUCCCUCAUGGUUUCCUGCUCAACACACACCACCUUGUCCCUAUCCUACCACUCCGCCACGCUCAUCACAACCAUAACCCCCCAAUGCUCUAGGUUUACUUGACCCUUGACCACCACAACCACAAACUCAUAAUACCUCAGUUAAAUCCUACACUCCUACUGAUUUGGAACAAGCUUUUCACACAAUGAGUCUCAUCUCUCCAGACCCGAAUUGGUACCUUGACACUGGCGCAACAUCUCACAUGACAAACAAUUGAGGUACUCUCUCCUCAUAUAAUAAGAGUAAUUUCCGGAAUAUCAUUGUAGGUAAUGGCACACAACUUCCAAUCGAAGGCACCGAUAAUCAUAUUAUUACUCCACCCUAUCCCCCUUAAUCAAGUCCUUUAUGUUCCUAAUCUGAUUAAAAACUUACUUUCUGUCCGUCGUCUCACAACUUAUAAUAAUGUUUCAAUCAAAUUUGACCCAAAUGGUUUUCUUGUAAAGGACUUGCAGACCCGGAUGCCUCUUCUCAGCUGCAAUAGCUCCGGAGAUCUUUAUCCACUUACACUUAAGUCAACCCCUCCACUCAAGUCUCCUUCCACUUUUGCUGCAAUAAACCGAGAUCUCUGGCAUUUUCGUUUGGAACACCUGGGCGUUAAUGUGUUUCAUUGUUUGAAUAAUUCCUUGUUAUUUCCUUUUUGUCAUAAAAACUCUAUUUUUUUUAUUCGUGUGUUAUGGGCAAAAAUAUUAAAUUACCUUUCCAUUUAUCUCCUACUGUUACUGUUUCUCCCUUUGACAUUAUACAUAGUGAUGUUUGGACCUCACCGGUUUUGUAACAUCCCAAAUUUCGAGGCCAAAAAUUUUGUUUUUAAUUAAGUAACUCAUAAAACAGUUUACCAAAACAUUGUCAAUAUUACAUCAACUUAUAAAAACCAUAAUGUCGUGUCUCAAAACCAUAUCAUCAGAAGUAAUGAAAAUCAGAGUACAAUCCCAGAAACUCAAUGCGGAAACCAUGUGUGUAUGUGUGUGAUGCGCUGCUACACCGUCGGAACCUUCCCCUUAGACGAAGAGGUACCUGAAACCAAAACUAAAAACCGUAAGCACGAAGCUUAGUGAGUUCCCCCAUCAUACCCAUACCAAAUAAUACAUAAUCCUCAGUAUCUUUCAACCGGUAACUGUCAGGCAUAAUCGGGAGCUGGACUCCCCCUCAGUAUCUUUCAACCGGUAACUGGGAACUACCCUUCUAUUCGGUAUCUUUCAACCGGUAACUGGGAACUACCCUCUCAUUCGGUAUCUUUCAACCGGUAACUGGGAACUACCCUCUCAUUCGGUAUCUUUCAACCGGUAACUGGGAACUAACCUCCCCUUCGAUAUCUUUCAACCGAUAACCGGGGACUAUUUCACCCCUACUACUGCUAACACAUAAUAAGCAUAGUAAGCAUAUCAAUCAUAAUCAUAUUAAUCACAGUAAGCAUAUCACAUAUCAAAUCCCAGAUAAUUAUCACAAAGACAAUCAUCUAACCAAUACUCUUACUUGUGGGUCGGCAUUGUGACCGUAGACCCACCCCUACUAGGAGGAGACUCACCUCAAAUUCGUAAGAUCAAACUGUUUCUCUAAGUAUACAUGGAUUUUUUUAUCCUAAGAUCAAGCUGUUGGGUUUUAAGCACUAUAACACUCCUAUAGUGCACAUGCAACCCUAAAUGAUUUGGAUCUAUGUUUUCUCUAAUUAUACAUGCAUUUUCUUUUUCCAAAGCAUUCACCCUAGCUAGCACACAAUUGAAGCUAUAUAAUAUAAAACUUAAUUUGGAUGCUUACCUCUUGAGUAAGGUAGAGUUCUUGACCUUUGGAAGCUUGAGUACCUCAAGUGUGAUGCCUCUAAUGGUUCACAAACACCAAGUGCAAGAGGAGGCUUUAGAGAAUAGGUUAGUUGGCACAAAAUCAACUUCACUCUCUUAGAAUGUAUGGCAUGACCCAUUUUGGCUCUAGGGAGGGGUUUAUAUAGUGUGACAAACAUUAGGGUUACAUCCAUGAAAACCCUAAUGCUCCAUGACUUUUCACAUUCUCAUGCUCCAUUGUUUAAACCUCCAUGGACUAUCCAUGGUUCAUCUCAUUGGUUUAGCCCAUUCUAAAUAACUAUGGAUCAUUGGCCCACACUAUAAGAAUCAUUGAUUUGCAAUCAAGCCCCAUAUAUUUAAUUAGUCUCAUUUGAUCACAAAAUUAAUUUCAAAUUAAUUCUUGAUCAAUACUAAUUAAAUAAUAUGUUUUCUCAAUUAAUAUAUUAUACUUACAAUAUAUUAAUAAAUCACAAAUAACCUUAUUCUUAAAAGUUCACCCUAUCAAAUUGCAUUGAUGAAGGCAACCCAAAAGGACCAUGCUACUAUUGGGUCAAGUACAUCCCAGUUAUAGUUAUGGUCUUAGACACUAAAUCCAACACAAACAACUUCUUUGGAACCAUCCCUUUACAGUUAUGUCAGUUAUCUAAUCUUCAAACUCUAGACCUGUCAAUGAACAAUCUCCAUGGAAGCAUCCCCUCAUGUUUGAGUAAUCUUACCAGCAUGGUUCAACAAGGAGGAUUCUCACAAGAUGUGCAGUUUAUUACAACUUACAAAGCUUAUGAAUUUAAACAGGAGACAUACGUUGACCAUGCGAUGAUUGAGUGGUAAGGAGAUGAAUGUGAAUUCGUUAGCAUUCUGAAAUUGAUGAAGAUCAUUGACCUUUCAAGCAACAAGUUAACAUGACAAAUCCCAUAUGGAAUUACCAAUCUUUCUGACUUAGUUGCCUUGAACUUGUCAAGGAACGCACUAUCUGGAGAGAUUCCCCAGAAAAUUGGUGAGAUGAAAAAGCUUUUGACUUUGGAUUUAUCCACAAAUAAUUUCUCUGGGCAGAUACCAUCAAGCAUGUCUCAGAUGAGUUUACUUAAUGAACUAGACUUGUCAUACAAUAACUUGUCAUGGAGAAUCCCAUCAGCACUCAACUCCAAUCCUUUCUGUGACAUCCCCAAAAUCACGGCCAGAAAAGACCGGUUUCAUUUAUGCUUUUAAAAUAUUUUCAAAGUAAAUCCAUUGAUUUAAAAGAGUUGCAGAAUUUGUUCCCAAAACAAAACAUGAUAAAAUAAAGCUUAUCAAACCAUUUCAUCAAGAGAUACAUUUUCAUUAUAUGACAAUAUUCGAGAAGUCAUGUUCUGAUAAACAGACCAAAAGCAUAAACAACAAAAGAUAGACCAUACAACAGUUACAUAUGACAACUGGUCUAAUAUCAAAAGAUCUUGAUAAGUCAUCCAACUUAUGCCCUCGCACCACUACCUGUAAUACAACAAAACUAAGUGGGUCAGGCUUGGAAGCCUGGUGAGCAUAUAGGGUUUCCAAGCCACAAUAAAUAAUUAUAUUUAAUUCACCAACCAACAACAACAACCUGAUUACCCAUUCCCGUUAUCCUCACUUUACGUCCCUAAAGCAACAUCUAUUACAAGGGACCUAAUCUAGGAUUUUCAUUGGGAUGGACUCUACUGCAAGGGGUUUCCUCAGCAAUAAAAGUCCUAAAGGCAACCAUGAGGGGGAUAGAGUACACUGGUGAACACAUCGUUCACAACACCUACAGGUUAUGAGUCUGCUAGCGUUCCACAGGACUGUCUAGAAGGAGUCUGUGGUCGUUAUCCAUACUCCGCUGGAUAACUAGAAUAACAACAACAACAUCAAGGCCUCUCAUCUGUUUAUCACACAUCAACUAUCUACCCAUGUUCUACCCAACAUUUUAGUAGAUAAAAUAUACAUUUUUAUACAUGUUGGAUAUAGUGUCUAAGUCCAUAACUUUAUUUGGUAUGUACUUGACCCGACCCGGCAUGGUCCAUUUGGGUUGCAUGGCAUUGCAAUACUUGGAUAGACUAAAUGAGAGAAUAUGGCACUUAUGAUUAUUAAUAUAUUAUAAGUUCUAAUAUAUUAAUAAUAGUAUUAUUUAAUUAGUAUUUGAUCAAGUAUUAAUCUAGUAUUAAUUUGGUGAUCAAAGUGAGACUAAUUAAAUAUAUAAGGGUUGAUUAUGACAAUCAUCAAUUCUUUUAUGGUGGAUUAAUGAUCCAUGGUUUAUGGGUUAUGGAUGUAACCAUUUGGAGCUCCAUGGAUAGUCCAUGGGAGUUACAAACCCAUGGGUCAUGAGAAAUGAAGAGUCAUGACAAUUAUGGGUCUUCAUGAUGAAACUCUAAUUGUGACACCACUAUAAAAGGGACCCUUUGGCUAACAAAAUCAGACCUAGUGUUACUAGAGAGGGCAUAACCGAUUUUUGAGUGUAAGAAUUAUUCUCUCAAGUUAUUCCAAGUUUUGUGGUGCUGUGUGAAGCAUUUGAGGUACAACAUUUGGGGUGCUAGGCUCACAUAGUCUUGAAGGAAUCCAAGCAACAACAAGGUAUGUAUUUCUACUAGUUUUUAUGUUUUAUGUAAUCCCCAUGCCAUGCUAGUUAGGAAAUAACCUUGAAAAAGAAAUUUGCAUGUAUAUAGAGAAAACAUAGAUUCAAGGUUAUUAGGGUUGCAUGUACACUUAGGAAGUGUUAGAAUGCUCAAAACCCAUCANNNNNNNNNNNNNNNNNNNNNNNNNNNNNNNNNNNNNNNNNNNNNNNNNNNNNNNNNNNNNNNNNNNNNNNNNNNNNNNNNNNNNNNNNNNNNNNNNNNNNNNNNNNNNNNNNNNNNNNNNNNNNNNNNNNNNNNNNNNNNNNNNNNNNNNNNNNNNNNNNNNNNNNNNNNNNNNNNNNNNNNNNNNNNNNNNNNNNNNNNNNNNNNNNNNNNNNNNNNNNNNNNNNNNNNNNNNNNNNNNNNNNNNNNNNNNNNNNNNNNNNNNNNNNNNNNNNNNNNNNNNNNNNNNNNNNNNNNNNNNNNNNNNNNNNNNNNNNNNNNNNNNNNNNNNNNNNNNNNNNNNNNNNNNNNNNNNNNNNNNNNNNNNNNNNNNNNNNNNNNNNNNNNNNNNNNNNNNNNNNNNNNNNNNNNNNNNNNNNNNNNNNNNNNNNNNNNNNNNNNNNNNNNNNNNNNNNNNNNNNNNNNNNNNNNNNNNNNNNNNNNNNNNNNNNNNNNNNNNNNNNNNNNNNNNNNNNNNNNNNNNNNNNNNNNNNNNNNNNNNNNNNNNNNNNNNNNNNNNNNNNNNNNNNNNNNNNNNNNNNNNNNNNNNNNNNNNNNNNNNNNNNNNNNNNNNNNNNNNNNNNNNNNNNNNNNNNNNNNNNNNNNNNNNNNNNNNNNNNNNNNNNNNNNNNNNNNNNNNNNNNNNNNNNNNNNNNNNNNNNNNNNNNNNNNNNNNNNNNNNNNNNNNNNNNNNNNNNNNNNNNNNNNNNNNNNNNNNNNNNNNNNNNNNNNNNNNNNNNNNNNNNNNNNNNNNNNNNNNNNNNNNNNNNNNNNNNNNNNNNNNNNNNNNNNNNNNNNNNNNNNNNNNNNNNNNNNNNNNNNNNNNNNNNNNNNNNNNNNNNNNNNNNNNNNNNNNNNNNNNNNNNNNNNNNNNNNNNNNNNNNNNNNNNNNNNNNNNNNNNNNNNNNNNNNNNNNNNNNNNNNNNNNNNNNNNNNNNNNNNNNNNNNNNNNNNNNNNNNNNNNNNNNNNNNNNNNNNNNNNNNNNNNNNNNNNNNNNNNNNNNNNNNNNNNNNNNNNNNNNNNNNNNNNNNNNNNNNNNNNNNNNNNNNNNNNNNNNNNNNNNNNNNNNNNNNNNNNNNNNNNNNNNNNNNNNNNNNNNNNNNNNNNNNNNNNNNNNNNNNNNNNNNNNNNNNNNNNNNNNNNNNNNNNNNNNNNNNNNNNNNNNNNNNNNNNNNNNNNNNNNNNNNNNNNNNNNNNNNNNNNNNNNNNNNNNNNNNNNNNNNNNNNNNNNNNNNNNNNNNNNNNNNNNNNNNNNNNNNNNNNNNNNNNNNNNNNNNNNNNNNNNNNNNNNNNNNNNNNNNNNNNNNNNNNNNNNNNNNNNNNNNNNNNNNNNNNNNNNNNNNNNNNNNNNNNNNNNNNNNNNNNNNNNNNNNNNNNNNNNNNNNNNNNNNNNNNNNNNNNNNNNNNNNNNNNNNNNNNNNNNNNNNNNNNNNNNNNNNNNNNNNNNNNNNNNNNNNNNNNNNNNNNNNNNNNNNNNNNNNNNNNNNNNNNNNNNNNNNNNNNNNNNNNNNNNNNNNNNNNNNNNNNNNNNNNNNNNNNNNNNNNNNNNNNNNNNNNNNNNNNNNNNNNNNNNNNNNNNNNNNNNNNNNNNNNNNNNNNNNNNNNNNNNNNNNNNNNNNNNNNNNNNNNNNNNNNNNNNNNNNNNNNNNNNNNNNNNNNNNNNNNNNNNNNNNNNNNNNNNNNNNNNNNNNNNNNNNNNNNNNNNNNNNNNNNNNNNNNNNNNNNNNNNNNNNNNNNNNNNNNNNNNNNNNNNNNNNNNNNNNNNNNNNNNNNNNNNNNNNNNNNNNNNNNNNNNNNNNNNNNNNNNNNNNNNNNNNNNNNNNNNNNNNNNNNNNNNNNNNNNNNNNNNNNNNNNNNNNNNNNNNNNNNNNNNNNNNNNNNNNNNNNNNNNNNNNNNNNNNNNNNNNNNNNNNNNNNNNNNNNNNNNNNNNNNNNNNNNNNNNNNNNNNNNNNNNNNNNNNNNNNNNNNNNNNNNNNNNNNNNNNNNNNNNNNNNNNNNNNNNNNNNNNNNNNNNNNNNNNNNNNNNNNNNNNNNNNNNNNNNNNNNNNNNNNNNNNNNNNNNNNNNNNNNNNNNNNNNNNNNNNNNNNNNNNNNNNNNNNNNNNNNNNNNNNNNNNNNNNNNNNNNNNNNNNNNNNNNNNNNNNNNNNNNNNNNNNNNNNNNNNNNNNNNNNNNNNNNNNNNNNNNNNNNNNNNNNNNNNNNNNNNNNNNNNNNNNNNNNNNNNNNNNNNNNNNNNNNNNNNNNNNNNNNNNNNNNNNNNNNNNNNNNNNNNNNNNNNNNNNNNNNNNNNNNNNNNNNNNNNNNNNNNGAUUUUUGCAUGGAUUAGGAAAAGAUUUUGAUAACAAAAAGAAUCUAAGUCAUAGAUCCAAGCAUAAUCUUACCUUAGAUGAAGAAUUUUGUGGAAAUUUCCUCUUGAAUGCUUCCUAAAUUUCGAGAUCUUUAACUGGAGAGGGAGGAUUGUUCUUCAAGACUUAGAGAGUUUGGAAGAGAUUUUUGUGGUGUGUGUGUGUUUGCAUAUGGCCGAGAGUGAGAGAGAGGAGAGAAGAGAAGUGAUUUUGAAGUGAUGUUGCAUGGAAGAAUGAGAUAUAAUGCAUGGAUAUCCAAUGAAUAAAAAUGAGGUGGCAUGGUAAAGUCAACUCUCCUCUUGGGCUUGAUUUGGGCCGAAAACAUGGAGGAAAAAAAAGAAAUUUGGGCCUUUGCCCUUAAGCCCAAUAUUAGAGUUAAUCUUGGGUAUGUUUUAAGUCUAAAAGAAUGUGGUAGGAUUUUUAUAUUUUUAUUGGACUAGUUUAGGUUAUUCAUGUAUCAAGGCUUUUAAUUCAUUUCAUUCUAGGCCCAACAUGGCCCAAAAUGUUGAAAUAAAUUAGUGUGGGUCCAAUUAGAGCCCAAAUUAGGGUUCUAAGCCCAUGAUAGUCUAAUUGGAAGCUUAUUGGUUAGUCCAAAAUGGACUUAAACAAGGACUUCUAGGGUCUCCAAUUGUUUGAUGACUAUUUGUAGUACUUGUAUGAUGCAUUGGAUUUAAGUUUUUGAUUCACAUUAACUUGAGUGUAUAGAUUACAGGACACAAAAUUUCCAGUUGUGACAUGCAUGUACACUUAGGAAGUGUUAGAAUGCUCAAAACCCAUCAGUGGUAUCAGAGCCUAGGAUUGUUUUUUGUAUACUUGAUGCAAAACUGCUUAAAAAUCGAAAAAUCUGCUCACUGACGACUGGACUCGCCGAGUUCAUGGGGAGGACUCGCCGAGUCCAUGAACAAAUUCAUCAUACUCGUCGAGUAGGAUCAUGCACUCGACGAGUAGGAGCGUGCUGGGCAGUUUUUCGAGUUUUGUUGCUGGAAAUGGAUUAAAAUCAUUAUCCCAAUCUGUUUUGGACUUGUAAAAUCUAUUUUUCAAAGUGAUAAUGACUAUGUUAACCCAUUUUGCAUGACUUUUAUCAAUGUUCAAGUAUUGUAUAUGUUUAUAUANGCAUGUAUAUAGAGAAAACAUAGAUUCAAGGUUAUUAGGGUUGCAUUGUCACACCCCCGAACCAGACGGCGGAAAUNGAAGAGACUUGGAAUAGUUUCAAUUCUUGCCCUCAAGUUUUGGAAUUUGAAAAGUCUUACACUCUAAUACUUUAAUUCCAAAUUAAACCUUAGAUUUUUAAAAAGUUUAAAAAUCAACACUUAUACUAUUAUUAUAAUUUUAUUAUAUAGAUAUGUAUAAGAAUAUGUCGUUCUUACCGUUAGUAGGCCUCAUUCACGAAGCCGGUCUAUAAGGGGGGUAUAAGGUUGUUGCCUAUAAAAUGGUGACUUAAUGGGUGUCCACUCUCACCCACCGCUUCCUUGAUCGGUGGAGGGUCGUUAGCCGAACGGGUAGGAUAUGACUUUAAAUUCUCAUUAAAAGUAUAAUGAAUUAUAAAGUAACUAUACAUUAUAAAUUCCCAAUCUUAGUUACUUUAGGAAAAUGUGAAAUUGGUGCUAGCCCAUAAAAUUACACUUUGUACCUUACCAAGUCGUUAGUGGAGCGUGUGUGGUUAACCGGCACACUAACAUGGACAAGUAAGAGUGGCAAAAGGUGACUUGACUUCAUUAUAGAUCGGUGGAGCAUGUGUGGUUAACCGGCACAUCGAUUAGGUAAUAUUGUUAAGGGUACCAAGUCAAUUUGUAUGGUUAUUCACACCUUGUUUGUGAUCCUCGGCAUCCCAGUCACAAACUUGAGAGGGCACAUUCGAGAUUCAAACAUGCCAUUGAAAAGUUCAAUGUAUCUCAAAAGAUCUAGGAGUUUCAAAACCAAUAAAACCUAAUAAUAAAAUAUUUCGUUCUUAUGGUGGAAAUUGGUAAAUCGUCAUUUACCUACCUUCAAAUAUUUUAUAGUGUGGAUUACGGCAUCCCUCUUCCACCUAUAAAUAGUUUGUUGGAUCCUAGCCUUAAUAUUUCAUUUGGGUGACUUAUUAAGGAUUCUUAAUCUAAUGAAACUUGUCUUUCUUUCAGAUGUCUUCCAAUAACGCUGCUAGCUCAAACCCUACAAGCUCCUUUUCCCUAAUGAACUUGUGUGGUAAGGUCAUCUUUGAUGGAUCCAACUUUAAUGAGUGGAUCAGAAACAUCAGGAUGAUUACCCGCUAUGAGGACCAAGAAUAUGUCCUUGACAGGGAGCUUAAGGUUGUUAAUGAAGUCACUGCUACUCCUGAAGAGUUUGCAGAGUUCAUUGCACAUGAGAAGGAGGCCACCAAUGUGUCUUGCAUCAUAAUGGCCACAACCGGAACUCCAAAAAUCUUAUGAAGAUUUCUACCCCUAUGAGAUGCACCUAGAUCUGAUGGAAAGGUACCAUCAGAGCGCGCGUCAAGAGAGGUAUGAAAUCAUUUCCUCCAUGAUAACCGCAAGGAUGAAGGAUGGUGAACCCAUCACCGGUCACUUGCAGAAGAUGCAGAGGUUCGUUGACCGGUUGCUAAAGCUCAAUGUUGACUUCCCUGAGGAAUUGGCGAUUGACAUCAUUCUCCAUUCCUUACCUCCAAGUUAUGAUCAGUUUCGUAUGACUUAUCAUAUGAACAAGGAGGAAGUCACACUUAGCAAACUUCAAGGACUCUUAAGGACAGCUGAAAAUGGCCUUAAGGGUAAAGCGGUUGCUACUUCUACUCCUUUAACAGCCCCUGUUCUUGCAAUUGGGCAAGGGAAGGGUAAGAAGAGGAAAAGCCCUUCAAAGGGUACCAAGGGUAAGACUCUUGAUGGUUCCUCUUCAAGUGGGACAAAGAAAGGUCCCAUUACUCCUUCUUCGAACCCAAAGGAAGCACAGUGCUUCUAUUGCCAAGAUAAGGGACACUUCAAGCGAAGCUGCGCCAAAUAUCUGCAAGAUGUAAAGGAUGGGAAGGUUAAACCCACCCAUGCAGGUAUUUACACAAUAUUGUCUAACAACUCAUCUAAUGCUAAUUCUUGGGUGCUUGAUACAGGGUGUGGUAUUCACAUUUGUACUGAUUUGCAGGCACUAAGAAGAAGUGAGCAAGUGGAGCACGGGAAGAUAAACUUAGUCAUGGGCAACAGGAAAGCAUCACCUGUUACCAAGAUAGGAGUUUAUUCUUUAUUGCUUAAUAAUGGGUUAAUGUUAGAUUUGAAUAAGUGUUGUUACUCGCCCGAAAUGGCGAGAAAUAUUAUUUCUUUUCAUGGCUUGUACAAACAAGGUUUUACAUUUUCAUUUGAUAAUAAAAAUGGUGCUAUUAAUGUUUAUUACAAUGAUGUAUUUUACUUUAAAGCAAUACCUUGUGAUGGUGUAUAUGAAGCCGUGAAUGUUGUAGACAAUCUAGGAAAUAAUGUGUUGUAUAUUGAUUCUUCUGAUAGCUUGGAUAAAGCAUCCUUGUGGCAUUGUCGUCUUGGACAUGUUAGCAAGAAGCGCAUAGGCCAACUCCAAAAGGCUGGAGUCUUGGAAUCAUUUGACCUCAAGUCAGAUGAUAGUUGCGAGUCUUGUUUACUUGGAAAAAUGACAAAGUCACCCUUCACAGGUACUUGUGAUAGGGGUGAAGGUUUGUUGGACCUUGUACACACGGAUGUGUGUGGGCCCUUCAGAGUUGCUACAAGGGAUGCUAAUCGUUAUUAUGUGACUUUUACUGAUGAUUACAGUAGAUAUGGAUAUAUUUACUUAAUCAAGCAUAAGUCAGAAACCUUUGAAAAGUUCAAAGAGUUUAAGCAGGAAGUUGAGAAUCAAUUGGGCAGGAACAUCAAGAUGCUCCGAUCCGAUCGGGGAGGAGAGUAUCUUAGCAUUGAGUUCCUUGACUAUCUUAAGGAAUGUGGGAUUGUCUCACAAUUGACACCUCCCAGGACACCACAGUUGAAUGGUGUAGCUGAGAGGCGCAAUCGAACCCUGUUGGAUAUGGUUCGUUCCAUGAUGAGUCGAGCUUCGUUACCAAUCUCUUUCUGGGGGUAUGCCUUAGAGACUGCCGCCCAUAUCCUUAAUCUAGUCCCUACUAAAAAGGUUGCCAAAACACCUCACGAGAUGUGGACUGGGAAAGUGCCCAAUUUGGACCACAUCAAGAUUUGGGGUUGUGAAGCUUUUGUGAGGCGUGAGACUCAUGACAAGCUUGAACCCCGAAGCGAGAGGUGUAUUUUCAUCGGCUACCCACAGAGAUCCUUUGGUUACCUCUUCUACAGACCCAGUGAUAAUGUGGUCUUUGUAGCAAGAAGAGGAGUCUUUCGUGAGAGAGAAUUCAUAAGCCAAGGGGACAGUGGGAGGCAAAUUGACCUUGAAGAACUUCAAGAGUCAAGUGGUGAAGGAACCUCAAAUGAUGUCAGCCAACAUGAGGAGGAGACUCCUGUUGAGCCGAUAGAUGAAUCUGUACCUCCAAUACGUUCCAUUAGGGUCAGGAACACACCUGAUUUUUAUUAUGGUUAUCACAUCACCACUGAAGGUGAUACAUUUAUCAGUGAUAGUACACUGAUAGAUUUGGAUGAACCUAAUAAUUAUAAGGAAGCCAUGGCAGGCCCUGAGUCUGCGAAAUGGAAGGAGGCUAUGGACAGCGAGAUUCAGUCCAUGUAUGACAAUCAAGUUUGGAACUUGGUUGACAAUGUACCAGGUCGUAAGACAGUUGGGUGCAAAUGGAUCUUCAAGAAGAAGACCGACAUGGAUGGGAAAGUACACACUUAUAAAGCGCGACUGGUUGCGAAGGGCUUUACUCAAACUCCGGGAGUUGACUAUGAUGAGACCUUCUCACCAGUAGCUAAGAUUAAGUCUAUUAGAGUGUUGUUAGCCAUAGCUGCAUUUCAUGACUAUGAAAUAUGGCAAAUGGAUGUCAAAACCGCUUUCCUUAAUGGGAAGUUGGCUGAGGAUGUUUACAUGGCUCAGCCAGAGGGUUUUGUCGAUCCAAAAUACCCUAAUAGAGUGUGUAAGCUUGAAAAAUCCAUUUAUGGAUUGAAACAAGCAUCUCGCAGGUGGAAUCUUUGCUUUGAUGAGAAAGUCAAAGAGUUUGGCUUUUCUAGGAGUGAGGAUGAGUCUUGUGUGUAUGUCAGGGCUAGUGGGAGCAUAGUUAGCUUCUUGGUGUUGUAUGUGGAUGACAUACUUCUCAUAGGAAACGACAUCCCAACUUUGCAGGAGGUUAAGGCCUGGCUUGGGAAGUGUUUUGCUAUGAAGGACCUUGGGGAAGCUGCCUAUAUCCUAGGGAUAAGGAUAUUGAGAGAUAGGAGUAAGAGACUAAUUGGACUUAGUCAAAGUACUUAUGUGGAUAAGGUACUGAAGAGGUUCAGUAUGCAAGAUUCCAAGAAAGGAGAAUUACCAAUCCAGAGUAAUGCCAAGCUAAGUAAGACUCAGAGUCCGAGUACAGAGGCUGAGAUAGCUGAAAUGAGUCAGAUACCAUAUGCUUCCGCUGUGGGCUCGAUCAUGUAUGCUAUGACUUGUACUCGCCCUGAUGUGGCCUUUGCUUUGAGCAUGGUCAGUAGAUAUCAAGGGAACCCUGGCAAGGCACACUGGACAGCGGUAAAGAACAUUCUCAAGUAUUUGCGGAGGACUAAGGACUGGGUCCUUACCCUCGGAGGCAGUGAUGACUUGAGAGUGGAAGGAUAUAGUGAUGCUAGCUUUCAAACUGAUAGGGAUAAUUUCCGCUCUCAGUCAGGCUGGGUCUUUAUCCUAAAUGGAGGAGCAAUUACUUGGAAAAGUUCCAAGCAGGAGACAGUAGCUGAUUCAACUUGUGAAUCAGAGUACAUAGCAGCAAGCGAGGCAGCAAAAGAGGCGAUAUGGCUAAAGAACUUCAUCGGAGACCUUGGAGUUGUACCAGCUAUAAAGGAGCCAAUGGAAAUUUUCUGUGACAGUGAAAGUGCGGUUGCUUUGGCGAAAGAACCAAGAGAUCACGGGAGAUCUAGGCACAUUGACAGAAAAUACCAUUUCAUCAGACAUAGAAUAGAAGAAGGACUCCUCGUGGCAAAGAGGGUAUCAUCAGAUGAGAACCCGGCAGAUCCCCUCACGAAGGGACUGAGCAGGGUUAAGCAUUUACAACAUGCGAGGUGCAUUGGGUUGAAGGAUGAUAUUAGUUUCAAUAAUUAGAUUCCUGAAACUUGUAAAAUGUAAUUUACAUUUGAUGAUAAAUAAAAGUUGUUGUUUAUUUAUGAGUAAGGUGUUACUAUCUUGUGUUGAUUGUUUACUAUGUUUCAAUUUUGCAUGUUUUUACUUCCAGAAUAAUUAUGUUAUUAUUCAAACCAUCCACAGUCAGUCAAACUUUGGAAGUAAGUAUUGAUUUAAGACUGUCAUGAAUUUGGCUUUGUANUAUGAUUUGUCUAAAGUGCUUUAGACAAUGCAAUGGUUGCUACAACAUUCUUGAGUACUCAUAAGGGCUGAGUAUUGGAUUCAACCCACGCUCACUUGCAUCACUUCAUGGAAUUCAUCUCGAGUCAUCGUUAGACAACAAUAUCAUAUAAAUCUUCAAACCUAGAGAUAUGAGUUGUUGACUAUGAGUUGGUUAUUCAUUGAUUGUACGAAACCGCAUUGGUAACUCGAUGUUAUAAAAUGUGCCUUUGUGAGUAAUUCAACAAGUAGUUAGUACAAGAAUAUCAGCCGAAGUUUAUCUGUUCCUUCUAGAAAUAGAAGCGAUAUCUGGGCCCCUCGAUGAUUUGGUUUUGACCUAUGUACCAGGCCCGAUCAGAACCUGAUAUGUGCAUAAUUAGUUAAUUAUUUAGCAUACAUUUUUAUUCAUUUUUAACUAAUUAUGUGUAUAAUGUGGACAAAAGGUACUUAAUAAUGUUUAAAUUUUGAUUUCAGUCCAAAAGACAUGCUUGGGAGUGAAAGGGAAUGAGGGGAAGAAAUUAGAGACCAAAGAAUGAAGAAUGAGGGACAAAAGCCUUCCUACUCUGCGAGUUCACGAGCCUACUCGGCGAGUUCAUUAGAAUAUUCUAGAAGAUAAGUCAAGACUCCUGGUAUGACACGGAUAACUAANAAGAGACUAAUUGGACUUAGUCAAAGUACUUAUGUGGAUAAGGUACUUAAGAGGUUCAAUAUGCAAGAUUCCAAGAAAGGAGAAUUACCGAUCCAGAGUGAUGCCAAGCUAAGUAAGACUCAGAGUCCGAGUACAGAGGCUGAAAAUAGUUGAGAUGAGUCAGAUACCAUAUGCUUCCGCUGUGGGCUCGAUCAUGUAUGUUAUGAAUUGUACUCGCCCUGAUGUGGUCUUUGCUUUGAGCAUGCUUAGUAGAUAUCAAGGGAAUCUUGGCAAGGCACACUGGACAGCGGUAAAUAACAUUCUCAAGUAUCUGCGGAGGACUAAGGACUGGGUCCUUACCCUCGGAGGAAGUGAUGACUUGAGAGUGAAAGGAUAUAGUGAUGCUAGCUUUCAAACUGAUAGGGAUAAUUUCCGCUCUCAGUCAGGAUGGGUCUUUAUCCUAAAUCGAGGAGCAAUAACUCGGAAAAGUUCCAAGCAGGAGACAGUAGCUAAUUCAACUUGUGAAUCAGAGUACAUAGCAGCAAGCGAGGCAGCAAAAAAGGCGAUAUGGCUAAAGAACUUCAUUGGAGACCUUGGAGUUGUACCAGCUAUAAAGGAGCCAAUGGAAAUUUUCUAUGAAAGUGAAAGUGCGGUUGCUUUGGCUAAAGAACCAAGAGAUCACAGGAGAUCUAGGCACAUUGACAGAAAAUACCAUUUCAUUAGACAUAGAAUAGAAGGACUCCUCGUGGCAAAGAGGGUAUCAUCAGAUGAGAACCCGGCAGAUCCCCUCACGAAGGGACUGAGCAGGGUUAAGCAUUUACAGCAUGCAAGGCGCAUUGGGCUGAAGGAUGAUAUUAGUUUCAAUAAUUAGAUUCCUGAAACUUGUAAAAUGUAAUUUACAUUUGAUGAUAAAUAAAAGUUGUUGUUUAUUUAUGAGUAAGGUGUUACUAUCUUGUGUUGAUUGUUUACUAUGUUUCAAUUUUGCAUGUUUUUACUUCCAGAAUAAUUAUGUUAUUAUUCAAACCAUCCACAGUCAGUCAAACUUUGGAAGUAAGUAUUGAUUUAAGACUGUCAUGAAUUUGGCUUGUAUGAUUUGUCUAAAGUGCUUUAGACAAUGCAAUGGUUGCUACAACAUUCAUGAGUACUCAUAAGGGCUGAGUAUUGGAUUCAACCCACGCUCACUUGCAUCACUUCAUGGAAUUUAUCUCGAGUGAUCGUGAGACGGUAAUAUCAUAUAAAUCUUCAAACCUAGAGAUAUGAGUUGUUGACUAUGAGUUGGUUAUUCAUUGAUUGUACGAAAACGCAUUGGUAACUCGAUGUUANCUGGGUUAGAUUGGAGUUGUCAUAUGUGAUUCUAAUAUGUUUAAAAUUCAGUUUUGCUUGGGGGCAAGCAAAAGUCAAGUGUGGGGUAUUUUGAUAUGUGCAUAAUUAGUUAAUUAUUUAGCAUACAUUUUUAUUCAUUUUUAACUAAUUAUGUGUAUAAUGUGGACAAAAGGUACUUAAUAAUGUUUAAAUUUUGAUUUCAGUCCAAAAGACAUGCUUGGGAGUGAAAGGGAAUGAGGGGAAGAAAUUAGAGACCAAAGAAUGAAGAAUGAGGGACAAAAGCCUUCCUACUCUGCGAGUUCACGAGCCUACUCGGCGAGUUCAUUAGAAUAUUCUAGAAGAUAAGUCAAGACUCCUGGUAUGACACGGAUAACUAACAUUUACUCGGCGAGUUGGGUCUGCUACUCGCCGAGUACACCCUGUUUUGUGAUAAUUAUAAAUACCAAACUAUUAUCUGAUUGGAAGGACUUCUGACGUUUUUGGAGCUUCAUCUGCGAUUGAAGAACCCUUGGAGGAGCUAAGGAACCCUAAUCUUCAAUCCCUUGAAGAAUCAAGGCAAUUAGGUUAAUCAUUCCACUUAGCUUUAGGAAUUAAGUAUGUUUAGCUUAGUUAAAUUUGUUUUUGUGUUUGUUUUUACUGCAACUAUGAACUAAAUUCGUUUUUGUUUCUGUUUGGGGAAUACCAAGUAACUCCUAUGGUUUAAUUCUUAGCUUUUGAUUGAUUGUUUAUUGGUGAUUUAUUAAAUUAAGUUUGUUAAAGAACCUUAUGCAUUAAUCACAACUAUUUUCUGUUAAUUGGAAGAUAAUUAAGCUGCAUAAACAUCUCUUAGUUGUUAACCUCAUAUGUCUAUGUGAACACUUAAUCAUAUGCUUAGGAAUAAUGAAUAUGAAACUAAGAUUAACAAGAGAAUGGGUAAAUUAAUGUGUGAGCUUGUUUGAGAAACCAACAAACAAGAGGUUAAUUGAAUCGCCAAUUUGAUUAACCAAUUACAAAUCUUAUUUAAUCCAAAUAAUUAAUCUAGGGAAUUAAUUAGUUUAAACACUUGAUCACUGCUUGAAUUAAUUGAUUGUCUAAGGGUUAGUAGUAAUGAACAUGAACCUAACCACUAUAGUUGAUAGCCAAUAGCAAUUAAUCUAUCAUAAAUUCAAAAUAACCAUAGGAGUGAAUUGGUUGAACCUAAAUAGAAACAUCUUAUUCAAAUUUGGUGAAUCAGUUACUUGCUUUAGUUAUUUAGUUAAUUAAGUGUUUAAGUUGUGUGUUUAAGUUUCUAGUCUUGCAAAACUAGAGAAAAACCCUUUUUACUUUCAUUAUUUGCUUAGUCAAAAUUAGUUAUUAGGUUAAUUUCCGUUCCCUGAGUUCGACACCCUACUAAUCCAACUAUACCACUAAAAGACAGGUUCACUGCCUUUGUGUGCUAAAUUUAUUAAUUAAAAGUAGGAAUAAAAUAAGUGCAUUUUACACACAUCAAGUUUUUGGCGCCNUUUGCACACAUUAAGUUUUUGGCGCCGUUUCCGAGGAACGGUUCUAAAUAAUUAAUCUAAUCCCUAAUUUUUUCGAUCCUUUGUGUGAGUUUACUGGCAUAAAGUUAAUUUAUUGCAAUUUAGUAGUUAGUAAUUAGGUGUUAGCAUCUGUUUUAGUUUUAAUAUUAAGUUUAGUUUUUUUUUUUUUUUAAAUUUCACUGUUACUCGCCGAGUGCAUUCGCACCUACUCGGUAAGUAUAAGUGUAUUUUGCAGUUAAUUUUCGUUUUUUUUAGUUGCAUUUUUUGUUCUUUUUACGUUUUUAUCUUGUUCUAUUUCAGGACUUUCAUGACCAGAGGAUCAAACAUUCCGCUGGUACCCCCGUUUGAAGACCCCGAAUCCGCAUUAAAAAGGAACAAAGGAAAGGACGUGGAGAGCUCGAGUACACCCAAGAAGUCACCUUUGUCUAACGUGAAGACUAUUUUUGGGAAGAAAAAGAGCAGCAAAGCAGGUCCAUCCAGCGCAUCUUUAGCAAGUGAAGAACCGAUCAAGGAAGACACCGAGUACGACACCGAGGAGGAAGAAGAACUUACAUACGGGCACGACUCCGAUUCCGGCGACGAGUUAGCUCUUACCAUGGCUAACAUUGAUGAAAUCCCCAUAGGGGAAUGGAAGAAGAGGAUACGCGAUGACACUGGCCCGGGACUUGUGCAACCCGCAAUUCCCGCGACUGCUACUUUUGAGCUCAAGGGUCAUAUCCUAGCAUUACUUAAAGAAAUACCUUUCUAUGGAAAAGACCACGAAGAUGCCUACAAGCAUUUGGAUGAAGUCAAUGAUGUAGCUAAUUACUUUAAUGUUCCAAAUGUGCCUCGUGAGACUCAGCUGCUUCGCAUGCUUCCAGUGACAUUCAAAGGCGCUGCAAAAGACUGGCUCAAAUCACUUCCCCCCUGAUCAGUCACCACAUGGGCCAAGAUGAAGGAAGAAUUCAUUGAUCACUUUUUCCCACCUUCCAAGAUAGCCAAGUUGAAGAAGGCCAUUGCUAACUUUGAACAACAAGUUGGAGAGUCGCUAUAUGAAGCUUGGGAGAAGUAUAAAAAGUUUGCUACGAAAUUGCCCACACCAUGACCUCAAUAGCCAGCAAGAAGUCUUCGUCUUCUAUGAUGGAGUCAAUGUCACAACCAGACAGUUAUUAGACUCGCAAGGCCCGCUCACAAAGAAGCCACCCCCGAUGAUCAAGGAAUUGAUUGAAGAAUUCUCUAAACACUCUAGAGAAUACCACAACCCUAGAAAUGAUGUUACUAGGGGAGCCGCAUAUGCAGCUACUGAAGACUUAUCCGUUGUCAUGGCUAUGAUAAAAACCAUGGAUAAGAGGAUGGAUAAAAUGGAUCAAACGAUCCAUACUAUUCAGGUGGGUUGUGAAAACUGCAAUGGGCCUCAUCUUGCUAGAGAUUGCGACUUGGAUGAGAAUGACAACAAGAAGGUGCAAGUAUGUUACUCAAGUGAGGACCGAUAUGAUGAAGACUGACGCAAACAAAAGAAAGAGUGGCUCCCUUAUGAAGAGUACAUGAAGGCCAAGGAGGAGAAGUUCAGGCAAAAAGGAAGAGGUUUCUACCAAAAGGAGGAGCCGGUACAAGAGAGAAAGCCAAGCUUGGAAGAGAUGCUUACCAAAUUUGUGGCUGCUUCCAAAAAAGACAUAGUGAUCAUGAUGCUGCAAUUCAAGAAACAAGAACCAUGCUAAGGAACCAGCAAGCAUCUAUCCAUAAUAUAGAAACGCAGCUUGGGCAACUUGCUCAACAAAUCAACCAAAGAUCACCGGGCGAACUUCCUAGUAAAACCGAAAAUAACCCACGAGGCGCGCACAUAAAUAUAGUUACAACAAGAAGUGGGAAAAUAAUCACUCCCUUGGCCCCUAUUCAGACUGAAGCAUCAAAGGAAUCACAGAAGGAGGAGGCAGAAAAUCAAGCAGAAAAUCAAAAUCUUCAAUCUAACAGCUCUACUCGCCGAGUACCAAAUAUGGACUCGGUGAGUACACUGCCAAAUCCGAAGGAACAGGUCCCUGAAAAGUUGUAUCAACCUCCAAUGUCAUACCCAACCCGAGCUAAGAAGGAGAAGCAGGAAGAGGAGUACCAGAAGUUUCUAGAUCAUAUCAAGGCUCUUCAAAUCAACAUACCCUUCAUUGAAGUUGUCAUACAAAUGCCCAAAUAUGCAAAGUUCCUUAAGGAACUUCUCAUUAAUAGAAGGAAGAUGGAGGAAGUGAAGAAGGUAGUCCUCAAUGAAAACUGCUCAGCUGCUAUGCUAAAUAAGCUACCAAAUAAGAAGGGUGACCCGGGGAGUUUGACUUUACCUUGCCAAUUUGGCAACUUGGCUACCAUUCAUGCCUUAGCCGAUUCAGGAGCAAGUGUGAACCUAAUGCCAUAUUCAUUCUUCAAGAAGUUGGAUCUCCCAGAACCAAGGCCAAUUCGCAUGGCAAUUCACUUAGCAAACAAGACAGUCACUUUUCCACGAGGCAUAUGUGAAGACUUAUUGGUCAAAGUGGACAAGUUUGUAUUUCCUACUGAUUUCAUCAUUCUAGACAUGGAGGCGGAUCCCCAAGUCCCAAUCAGCCUUGGAAGACCCUUCCUCAACACGGCAAGUGCUAUAGUAGACAUGAGGGACUCGAAGCUGACCUUGCGGGUAGGAGAAGAUUCAGUCACAUUUGGGGUAGAUCAAGCUAUGAAGUAUGCAAGGAACAGUGACGACACAACGUUCUCAAUUGACAUGCUUGAUGAGUUAUUGGAGGAAUGCAUAAGCGAAGAUUCCAGCAAGUUCAAAAUUUAUGAUGAAGAAUUUGAUCCAGAAAAAGACUUAAUAGAGAUUGAAAGGCUGCUGGAAGAAGCUGAGUUUGAAGAAUUGGUGAAGCAAGCUGACAGCUCUACUCGCCGAGUAGGGCUGAUAUACUCGCCGAGUUCCUCCUUAGAAAAGGCAGAAUUUGUAAAUGCAGCCACAAACUCGUCGAGUACCUUACCUGCACUCAGCGAGUCCAACAGUCGAUUCCAAAAAUCUGAGCUCAAAACGUUACCAGAACAUUUGGAGUAUGCUUUCCUUGAAGAGGGCAACCAAAAGCCAGUAAUCAUAGCCUCUGACCUUGAAGAGGGCAACCAAAAGUGUUGAAGAAGCGGAAGCGGGCCACAACAUGGAGCAUCACCGACAUCAAGGGAUUGAGCCCAUCCUAUUGCUCUUACAAGAUCAAUCUGGAAGAAGGAGUAAAGCCGGUUUUAUAGCACUAAAGAAGAUUAAACCUGAAUAUGCAAGAAGUAGUCAAGAAGGAAGUUGUUAAACUCUUAGAUGCGGGAAUUAUAUAUUCCAUUUCCGACAGUCCGUGGGUGAGUCCGGUCCAAGUGGUGCCCAAGAAAGGAGGGAUGAUGGUCAUAACCAACGAAAAGAGCAAGCUAAUUUCGACACGAAUGGUAACCGGUUGGAGAGUGUGCAUCGAUUAUCAAAAGCUAAACGAUGCCACUCGUAAAGACCAUUUUCCCUUACCUUUUAUUGAUCAAAUGUUAGAAAGAUUAUCGAGCCAUAGUUACUAUUGCUUUCUAGACGGAUUCUUGGGUUAUUUCCAAAUACCCAUAGACCCAAUGGACCAAGAAAAGACCACAUUUACUUGCCCAAGUGGGACUUUUGCUUAUAGGCGCAUGCCCUUUGGGCUAUGCAAUGCACCCACGACUUUUCAAAGGUGUAUGACAGCCAUAUUCCACGAUAUGGUAGAAAAAUUCAUGGAAGUUUUUAUGGACGACUUUUCCGUUUUUGGAUCUUCUUUCCAUGAUUGUCUCACAAAUCUUGACUUAAUGCUUGCUAGGUGUGAAAAAACCGACUUGGUCCUCAACUAGGAGAAAUGUCACUUUAUGGUUGAGGAGGGUAUAGUGUUAGGCCACAAGGUUUCCAAAAUUGGAAUUGAAGUGGAUCGGGCAAAGAUUGACACCAUUGCCAAAUUACCCCCACCAACUAAUGUGAAGGGCAUUAGAAGUUUUCUAGGACACGCGGGUUUUUACCGGCGUUUCAUAAAAGAUUUUUCCAAAAUAACUAGACCUCUAACACAAUUACUAUUAAAAGAUGCACCAUUUAAUUUUACUAAAGAGUGUUUAGAGGCAUUUGAAUUUUUAAAGGAAAAAUUAACUAAUGCCCCGAUCAUUGUUGCACCAAAUUGGAGUUUACCCUUUGAAAUUAUGUGUGAUGCUAGUGACUUUGCAUUAGGAGCUGUCCUUGGUCUAAAGGUUGAUAAGCACUUUCGACCCAUAUAUUAUGCUAGCAAGACUCUAAAUCCAGCCCAAGAAAAUUACACCACCACGGAAAAAGAAUUAUUAGUUGUGGUGUAUGCUUUUGAUAAGUUCCGUCCUUAUUUAGUUUUAUCUAAAACAAUCGUUUUACUGACCACUUUGCUAUCAAGUAUUUAUUUGCCAAACAAGAUGCCAAGCCAAGACUGAUACAAUGGGUGCUACUUCUUCAAGAGUUUGACAUAGAGAUACGAGACAAAAAGGGGAUGGAGAAUGUAGCAGCUGACCACUUGUCAAGGCUUGAAAACCCGCAAUUGCACGAAGAUAGAGUUGGCGAUGAUUUUCCGGACGAGUAUAUUAUGGUGACCGUGGGAGAAGAACCAUGGUUUGCAAAUAUAGCUAAUUACUUAGCUAGCAAUUACAUCCCAAAAGAUCUCACAAGUCAACAAAAGAAGAAAUUCUUUUCCGAGAUAAAAUAUUACUUUUGGGAUGAACCAUAUCUUUUCCGAAGCUGCACGGAUGAGAUCAUACGAAGAUGCAUGUUCGGGAAUGAAAGCCAGAAAAUAUUAGAGCAUUGUCGUAGUGGGCCCACGGGUGGACAUCAUGGAGCACAUUACACUGCAAAGAAGAUCUUUGACAUUGGGUUCUAUUGGCCCACAAUUUUUAAAGAUGCAGCCCAAUUUGUCAAAGAGUGUGAUGCUUGUCAAAGAGUGGGAAACAUUUCAUCUCGAAAUGAAAUGCCACAACAUAGUAUCCAAGUGUGCGAGGUAUUUGAUGUGUGGGGGAUCGACUUCAUGGGACCAUUUCCCAUGUCUAAAGAAAACAAAUACAUAUUGGUGGCGGUGGAUUAUGUAUCCAAAUGGGCGGAGGCACAAGCGUUACCAACUAAUGACGGUCGGGUAGUGGUGCGGUUUUUAAAGAAGUUAUUUUCACGAUUUGGAGUCCCGAAAGCUCUUAUAAGUGACCGAGGCACGCAUUUUGCCAAUGAUCAACUAUAGAAGGUGCUAAGGAAAUAUGGGAUAACCCAUAAAUUUUCUACAUCCUACCAUCCACAAACUAGUGGACAAACCGAAGUGACAAAUCGAGCUUUAAAGCGAAUCUUGGAGAAAUCGGUGGGGAGCAAUCGCAAAGAAUGGUCGGAUAAGCUAGACGAUGCACUUUGGGCUUUCCGUACAGCUUUCAAAACCCCUAUUGGUACUACACCAUAUAGGUUAGUUUAUGGAAAGCAAUGUCAUUUGCCGGUGGAGAUAGAGCAUAAAGCUUUUUGGGCUUUAAAGAUGUGAAACUUCAACAUGGAGGAACUCAAGAGCAGCCGGUUAAUGUAAAUGAAUGUUCUUGAGGAACUUAGAAAUGAUGCAUACUCUAGUUCGUUGAUCUAUAAAGAGAAGACCAAGAUGUGGCAUGUCAAGAGGAUAAAAGAAAAUAAAGAAUUUCAUGAAGGCCAAAAAGUGUUGCUCUUUAAUUCACAACUAAAGCUAUUCUCGGGAAAACUCAAUUUAAGAUGGGAUGGUCCUUUUCUGGUAAAGACGGUGUUUCCACAUGGUGCUAUAGAGCGAUUGUCAAGAGAUGGAACACCUUUCAAGGUCAAUGGACAUAGGGUCAAAAAGUAUAAAGAAGGAGUCCCCAGGAAUGAAGGUAUGGAAGAAUUGUUGUUGCUGGAGGGAAUUGAAACCACGUAAAAGGGGAGGAGUCCGGCUAAUGACUCCUUAAAAAGAAGCGCUUCUCGGGAUGCAACCCGAGUCUCAAGUUUGCAUUUUCUUUCCUUUCCUUUAUUUUUAUUUUUAUUUUAUCUUUUUCAUUCGUCUUCUUCUAAGAAUAUAAUUGCUUGAGGGAAAGCAAUGCCUAGAGAGUGGGGUGGAUGGUUAAAAAUGAGAAAAUACAUUAAUUUUUCAAAACAUUCAAAUUUUUUUCAAACUGCAAGGAUUACUCACUGAGUAGGCACGUAUACUCGGCGAGUACCUGCCCAAGUAACCCAAUAAACGCAUAACAGCAGUUCUACUCGGCGAGUAGCCAACUUACACAGAUGGUUUAUAAUCUGUAAAAUAAGGGUUUUCUCCCAUUUAACCUAUACACUCGCCGUGCACGGCAUCCUUCAAGCAUUCUCUGUGAUUUCUUCAAUUUUCCACUUAAUCUUCGUCUUUCAAAGGAAAAGGUAAGAUCUUUACACUUAAAACUCAUCAAAGGUUCAAGCUUUAUCAUUGAUUUGCCCUUAUUUUGCUUAAAUUCGGAUUUGGGGGUUUCCUCAGAUUCUAGGGUUCUAACUUUGCCAUGAAUUAGGUAAUGUUAGGAGAAAUUUCUUUUGGAUUUAUGGUUAUUUGACUUAAUACAGCAAACCCCUAUGAAAAAUUAGGAGUUUUGGACAGCCUAUAUAUGAUCGACGAAUUUUGGUCCCGAUGUUCAUCCUACUCGCCGAGUAGGUCGUGUACUCGGAGAGUAGGAGGCUAUACAGAACUGUUUUAUUCGAUUUUAAUUACUGGGUGUUGUUUGUUUGUGCUUUCUUAAUGUUGUUAUGCAGGUACCAUGUCCAGAAGGGGUCAGUCUUCACGAGGGGGAAGCCAAGAGGACAUCCCAUGGCUCUCGUUCCGUCAAAUUACAUCCAAAUCGUCUCAUUCCCGUGCAAAGAACAAGUUGGAGGCGCUGAAACAGAAGGAGAUUCAUUUACCCAACGCUGUUGACUGGUAUUGGUUGGGAAAAGUGGGUUUGGAGGAGGAGCUCACACCAUAUUUGGUGAAGGAGUGCAACUUGGGGGAUACCACCAUCAUAUGUGAUGGUUGGUUGCAGUUAUUCAAGCUACAAGAACCUGUUUAUGCUGAACUGUGUUGGGAAUUUUUUGCUACCAUCUCAUUCCGAGGUGGUAGUGAGUAUUACAACCCCAACAUAAUUUCUUUUUCUCUUGGUGGUGAGCUGCGACAAUGCAGCAUGGCUGAAUUUUCCUGGAGGCUGAGGAUUUAUGAUUAAAACACUAUGCUGACUGAGGAUUUUGAAGCCUUUCUGGGAAACUGCCAUAAGGAUCUUCCCGAGGCAGUGGUUGCCUCUACCUGGUGGAAUACUAUUGCCAACCGGGUGUAUAAUCCUUCUACCGCUCAGGAGGGUCAUAUUCGCUCGCCGAUCCAUCAUCUUAUUCACCACUUCGUGGCCAACACGAUCAACAUGUUGAAGGAUUAGGACAAGGUUCCAACCCUUGAUACCUUCUAUCUUUGGAGUAUUAUUACUCCCGACGUUUUCUGCAACAUCCCCUAUUGCAUAGCUAAGUUUCUUGCGGAAGGGGCUGUUAAGGAGAAGAUCAACUCCAAGAUCAAUGGAGGGAUGUUUGUGACGAGGUUGGCGAGGUCGUUUUGGGUCUUAGAUUUGCAAGAAGCAAGAGCGCUCACGGUCAUUUAUNUAUCCCCCCCCGUUCAACACUGCAUUAUAUAGGAGGGCACGGAUCGUGGAGAAGUUUGGUGAUUCCUUUUCCAUUCCACAUGCGGAUGAGCCGGCAAUCCUCGAGGAGUCAGGAAGGCGGGUAAGGCAACGUAGCGAGCGGGUACAAGAAGACCCACCGGUUAUUCCGGUGGAGGAGGACAACGAUGGGUGGAAUCAAGUGGAGUACCGACGCUAUUUGGACGAUAUUGGAAGAGGAGUAAACUAUAAUAAUCAAUCUUUUGAAUACCUCUUCCAACAAAUGAACAUUGCACCAAGACCCGGACCCAGCUAUCCAUACAUUAUGAGUUGGGAAGAAAGAAUGAGGAGAAGAAAUAAAGAAGGAGGAAGCGGAGCUGGAGGAGCCGAUAUGGAAGAAGAAGAUUGAGGACUUUAUUUUUAUGUUUUAUGUUUUUAUGGUGUUUUGUUUUGAACAAUUGUUAAAACUUGGAUGAUUUUUGUUUUUUUUAGGAUUUUUAUUGCUUUCACUUUUAGUUGCUUAUUUUUCAGGGAUGGAAGGUUAGGAACCAUAAUAAAGUGUCAAGGGUCAAGUAAGGAAUGAGAGAUGUUCAAGAAAAAGUACGAAGUAUUGUCCUUAGGAUUGAGUCCGUUAGAGUCGAGAGUAAUGGAGGGUGUUGCUGCUGAAGGGUUUAGAGAAAGGGUCAGUGAAAUUUCCAAUUUCAAAACCUGAGUCAAAAGGAACACGAGUUGGAUCAGUUUUGGAAAUAUAGUGCCUACUCGCCGAGUGCACAAAUUCUACUCGGCGAGUACAUGGGUCAUUACACGUUAUAGUUCCAAGAUAAGAGACACUCGCCGAGUACACGGCAAUACUCGCCGAGUAGACUUGCAAUUUUCGAGUUCCAGAGCUGUUUUGAGCAUUUUCAUUGCAAUACUUGUCCGUUUUUCGUGAAGAAUUGUUACUGAAGAUUUCUAAGAAGUUUUUCCCUUGAUAUUUUCGAGCUGUCAACCACACGAGACGAAUGACACCCAAGACAUGGAUGAGCUGUUCCCAUGUCUAAAGUCAAAUGAAGAUGGAGCUGAAAAGAAGAGUUAUCAACCUAUCGACUGCUACCCCAGGGGAGUUUGUUCCAAUUCUCUCUAUAGUUUGCAUUUUUAUUUUUGCAUGAUAUGCAAUGAGGGCAUUGCAUAAAAUAAGUGUGGGGUAGGGGGUUGGUCACAUAUUAUUAAAUCUAGAAUCUUAAUUUGUGCUAAUUUUAAAAAAAUUUGCAUACCAAGAAUAUGAAUUAGGAAUUAAUUUAGAAAAUUUUGGUAAAAAUAAUAAUUAGGAUUCCGUGUUAGAAUUGUAUGGAUAAUUGCAUGAAGACCCAAAUAUUUAGUUGAGCCAAUAUAUGUUAUAAUGUAUUUGUGGCCUCCCUUAUUCUAGUAAAAUCAUGGGACAAAAACACAACCUUGCUUAGCCCGAGGGAUGCAAUAUGUUUAGCAUCGUGUACUUGAAAUGUAUCCAGGAAAAUUGUUAUUUUAGCCAAUAAAUGUUGAAGUUGAGCGCCCCUGCUUAAGCAUGUAGGGCUUUGAGUGAAAAAAAAGUGAGAUACAUGUUAAAAAAAGAGAAUUACAAGAAGAGUUUGAAGAGUUUUGAAGCUUUCAAAGUGGAGAUCAAAAGAUUGAAAAUUCUGAAAAUUAAAAUUUUUUGAAGAUACCAAAGAUCAAGAAGAUAGUGAAUUCAAAGAAAUCAAGAUCAAAUGCCAAGAAGUGAAGAAUUCCAAAGAACUCUAGUGUGGUAUCAUGUAUUGUAAUUCUAGACUAUGUAUGCUUGGGUUGCUCAAUCAAAAAUACCUUGAGGAUAAGAGGUUUUCUAGGGAUGGAUUCGGAGGGAUGCAUAAAAUGAGCAUUGUUCGGGAAAAGUGGGUGAAUGUUUAUAAGGAUUGUGAGUAUUUAGAGUAUGGGGGUAUUUAGGACAAUUUUAGACACCAAUGCAUGCGUUGCGGUCUUGGCAUAAUGGCUGGGUUAGAUUGGAGUUGUCAUAUGUGGUUCUAAAAUGUUAAAAUUCAGUUUUGCUUGGGGGCAAGCAAAAGUCAAAUGUGGGGUAUUUUAAUAUGUGCAUAAUUAGUUAAUUAUUUAGCAUACAUUUUUAUUCAUUUUUAACUAAUUAUGUGUAUAAUGUGGACAAAAGGUACUUAAUAAUGUUUAAAUUUUGUUUUCGGUCCAAAAGACAUGCUUGGGAGUGAAAGGGAACGAGGGGAAGCAAUUAGAGACCAAAGAAUGAAGAAUGAGGGACAAAAGCCUUCCUACUCUGCGAGUUUACGAGCCUACUCGGCGAGUUCAUUAGAAUAUUUUAGAAGAUAAGUCAAGACUCCUGGUAUGAGACGGAUAACUACCAUUUACUCGGCGAGUUGGGUCUGCUACUCGCCGAGUACACCCUGUUUUGUGAUAAUUAUAAAUACCAAGCUAUUAUCCCAUUGGAAGGACUUCUGACGUUUUUGGAGCUUCAUCUGCGAUUGAAGAACCCUUGGAGGAGCUAAGGAACCCUAAUCUUCAAUCCCUUGAAGAAUCAAGGCAAUUAGGUUAAUCAUUCCACUUAGCUUUAGGAAUUAAGUAUGUUUAGCUUAGUUAAAUUUGUUUUUGUGUUUGUUUUUACUGCAACUAUGAACUAAAUUCGUUUUUGUUUCUGUUUGGGGAAUACCAAGUAACUCCUAUGGUUUAAUUCUUAGUUUUUGAUUGAUUUUCUAUUGGUGAUUUGUUAAAUUAAGUUUGUUAAAGAACCUUAUGCAUUAAUCACAACUAUUUUCUGUUAAUUGGAAGACAAUUAAGCUGCAUGAACAUCUCUUAGUUGUUAACCUCAUAUGUCUAUGUGAACACUUAAUCAUAUGCUUAGGAAUAAUGAAUAUGAAAAUAAGAUUAACAAGAGAAUGGGUAAAUUAAUGUGUGAGCUUUUUUGAGAAACCAACAAACAAGAGGUUAAUUGAACCGCCAAUUUGAUUAACCAAUUACAAAUCUUAUUUAAUCCAAAUAAUUAAUCUAGCGAAUUAAUUAGUUUAAACACUUGAUCACUGCUUGAAUUAAUUGAUUGUCUAAGGGUUAGUAGUAAUGAACAUGAACCUAACCACUAUAGUUGGUAGCCAAUAGCAAUUAAUCUAUCAUAAAUUCAAAAUAACCAUAAGAGUGAAUUGGUUGAACCUAAAUAGAAACAUCUUAAUCAAAUUUGGUGAAUUAGUUGCUUGCUUUAGUUAUUUAGUUAAUUAAGUGUUUAAGUUGUGUGUUUAAGUUUCUAGUCUUGCAAAACUAGAGAAAAACACUUUUUACUUUCAUUAUUUGCUUAGUCAAAAUUAGUUUUUAGGUUAAUUUAUGUUCCCUGAGUUUGACACCAUACUAAUCCAAUUAUACCACUAAAAGACAGGUUCACUGCCUUUGUGUGCUAAAUUUAUUAACUAAAAGUAGGAAUAAAACAAGUGCAUUUUACACACAUCAGAACCUAAUUGAUGUGCUCAAUUUAGUUCUAUGUCGAAACAAAUUAGAGAUCGAGAAAAAAAUGUUGGACAAUAAGUAAGACCAUGUUCCAUGUGUUUGUCCGGCUGAUAUCAUGAGAACAGAGGAUUAUAUGAUCACUUAUCUUAAAUGGCGUAUCAUCAUCAUCUCAGUUCCGAGAGACUUUGAAAGAGCUACGAUUGCUAGUCGGAUUUUGAAGUCAUAUUUGCAAAUAUAGUUAUUAGACUUAUCCAAGUGGGAGACUGUUGGAUAUAGUGUCUAAGUCCAUAACUUUAUUUGGUAUGUACUUGACCCAACCCAGCAUGAUCCAUUUGGGUUGCAUGGCAUUGCAAUACUUGGAUAAACUAAAUGAGAGAAUGAGGCACUUGUGAUUAUUAAUAUAUUAUAAGCUCUAAUAUAUUAAUAAUAGUAUUAUUUAAUUAGUAUUGAUCAAAUAUUAAUUUGGUGAUCAAAGUGAGACUAAUUAAAUAUAUAGGGUUGAUUAUGACAAUCAUCAAUUAUUUUAUGGUGGAUUAAUGAUCCAUGGUUUAUGGGUUAUGGAUGUAACCAUUUGGAGCUCCAUGGAUAGUCCAUGGGAGUUACAAACCCAUGGGCCAUGAGAAAUGAAGAGUCAUGACAAUUAUGGGUCUUCAUGAUGAAACCCUAAUUGUGACACCACUAUAAAAGGACCCUUUGGCUAGCAAAAUCGGACCUAGUGUUACUAGAGAGGGCAUAACCGAUUUUUAAGUGUAAGAAUUAUUCUCUCAAGUUAUUCCAAGUUUUGUGGUGUUGUGUGAAGCAUUUGAGGCACGACAUUUGGGGUGCUAGGCUCACAUAGUCUUGAAGGAAUCCAAGCAACAACAAGGUAUGUAUUUCUAGUAGUUUUUAUGUUUUAUGUAAUCCCCAUGUCAUGCUAGUUAGGAAAUAACCUUGAAAAAGAAUUUUGCAUGUAUAUAGAGAAAACAUAGAUUCAAGGUUAUUAGGGUUGCAUGUACACUUAGGAAGUGUUAGAAUGCUCAAAACCCAUCAAUACAUUGUAUAAAACCUGUAUAGCAUGUUUAUUCAAUAUAUAUUCCAAAUAACAUAUGAGGCACAUACACAUAACACGUAUUUCAUAGAGAAUAAAUCAUAUCUAUGAGUCAGAAGAAAGUGAAUAUAAAUUCACACAUAUAACACAGAUAUAUACAUAUAACACGUAUUUCAUAUCAAAUACUUCAUAAUUAUGCAUUAGAAGAAAGUAACUACACACUCACUUGAUCAGAAGAUGAUCGGGCAGCACUACGGCUCUAAGAGUAGUAUUCUUCGGUGAAACCGGGAUCACUUUACACAACGGGCUUCUCGCUAGCAGAGCUUCAGCUCGGAAACUAUUUUCUUCUCAGGAUCUUCGGGCUUCGUGACUCGCUUUGGGUCUCGGGAUGCUAUUGGGGCUUUGGGGGUACUUCUUUGCAUGUAAAUCGAGGUAAUAUGAGUGAGAGGAGAGAAUUUGAGCAACCAAACUCUGCUGGCCCUUCAAAUCUAUUUAUAGGGCAAAGUUUUCAUUUUCCACGUCGUGGGUUUGGUCGUCAUUGCAUGCUUCAUCGCAAGUUGGGUCUAGGAGACUCCAGGAGGCGUCAAAAGACUUUCCAUGUCGUGGCACUGUUUGCCACGUCGUGGUGGCUGACAGUUUUGGGGUUUCGCGCCCCGAACUUUAGAAAUUCAUAACUUUUGCAUACGAACUCCGUUUUCGACAUUCGUUAUAUCGACGCGUAGGUGAGAAUAUGCUCUACAACUCUCGUUUAGACUCCAUUGGCUAACUUUGGCUUUAUUUUUAAUAUAUUAUAAAUAUAUUACUUUUAUAUUAUUUUUAGUAGGCCGGGACAGGAAAACUCCAAUAGAAAUUCAUAACUUCUUCAUCCGACAUCCAUUUUUGUCUGUCUUUUUACUGUUGGACUACUAUCGAAGAGAUCUUAGGUUCUCAUUUAGAUUUUUUCAGCUAAAAAUCACUCGAUCUCAUAUUCGAGUAUCCGGGUUGCAUACCGCUAAGUCGAAACUUCGGAAAAUAACUUCCUCAUACGAAGUCAGAUUUGGGCAUUCUUUUUAUGCACGCUCUCGGUAUAACGAAAUCUUCAAAUUUCGUUUAGAUUGCUAAGGAUAUAUAUCGCUCUAUCUUAAAAUUCAUAUUUUACGUCAUUCGGCGUCGUGUCGGUUCUGUCGCGAAACUUUGACAGAUCAAAACUUCUUCGUUAUAACUCGGAUUUCGACGUUCUUUAUAUCUCCGGAAUCCUUGUUUCGACCACUACAACUUUAUGUAAAGAUAUUAGGUUUAUCUCACACUUCAUUUUGACGCUUAUUUUAUUCUUAAUUCAAUUAAUACACACAACUAAACACAAAACACAUAAUACUCAAAUAAUACACUUCUAUUAUUUCAAAACGGGUUACAAAGGUUAACCUAGACUAUUAUAUUAACAUUAAUGACAAGCCCAGAAACACAAGCGUUACACUUUCCACCUUCAAGAUAUAAUGGAAACAAAGGACUAUGUGGUCCUCCCCUUACCAAAAAAUGUCAUGGAGAUGAAGAAUCAGAAUCACCACCCAUCAUUGGUAAAAGUAAGGGUGAUGGGGAAGACACAGAUGAUGAACUCAUGAGAUUGUUUUAUGUUGGUGGGGGCAUGGGUUUUGCUACUGGAUUUUGGAUUACAUGUGGGGCUUUCCUUGUCAACCGUCGAGGGAGACAUGCAUUUUUUCAUCUUUUUGAUAGCUUCAAAGAUUGGGUUUAUGUGAAGGUGGUUGUGUUCGUUUCAAGUUUGCAAAAGGCUAGACAGAUGUAAUUUGUUAUCUAAUUCUUAUUUUUGACUUCUUAUUUCCCAGUAUAGAAUGUAAUAUGGUAGUGGUUUUUAAUCCCCCAAUAUCAAUAAAUUAAGACUACUUUUGGCGCAUUUUUGUGACUUGGUAGUCGGUAAUUAAGUGCGCUUUAUUUAUGUUUAAUUAAAAAUGAGCUUUCAAUUAGAUGGGUGGGCCAUUAGGUUUAACUAAUAAAGAACUCUUAAAAACCAAGACUGAUACGACGCACAAGGCACGACAUGAUUCAGUGACAAUAAAAAUAAUUAAAAAAUAUCAGGCAUUCAAUCAUCUUCUCCAAGUUGAUUGUCAACGAAUCGUUUUCUACUCUUCUUCAGCUAUACUUCUUCCAGUCACUAAACACCAAGGUAUGUUGCAUAGUUUCCUACUUUCAUUCUACCCCAAUUCUACUCUCCUAUCAGCUCUCUAGUCUCUAGUUUCAUGCAUAGUAAUGUAAGUAUGUAACAUUGUAAUGAAUCUUCUCUGCAUGCAUGUAAAUUGUAUAGAAAUUGUGUCUAUAAAUUGUAAUUUGGUUGACUGAUUGACUGUAUAUGCUACAUUAUGAUUGUAAUGUGUAAAUUUGUAUGUAAGAUGCAUGCUAGUACAUUGCUAAUUUGCUAGUUAAUACUUUUGCUGUUAAUGUUAUAAAUGAAAUAAUGAAUUAUGAAUCGGGUUUGUUACUUUGUAUACUCUCUGUAUAUUUCUCUCUUUCUUAAUUUAUAUGUGAUCAAAUAUAAUCAUUGUUUUAUACUUAUGUUGUAUUGUUGUCUUGCUGAUUUGUUGUUAAUUAAGUGUUUACCUGUAAAGUCAGAAGUGAAAACUGUUGCGAACUUAUGAUUAUGAUGUAAUGUUGUUAACUGUUUGACUGUUUCAGUGUUCUGUCAGUUGUCACUGUUAUGUACUUAUGUUAUAGUGUUAUUUUAUACAAGAUUACAAUUAGAUAUGUUUUGAUAUUUUGAUGUUUUCUAAAUUUUAAUUUCUAUUUUGUUAUACAUAAUGGUUUCGACUUUAGAUGACCUAGGUAGGAGAUAUGGUGCACAAGGUCCAAGUAAUAAAAACAAUUUUGUGUGCUCUUUUUGUGGACAAGUUCUGAAAGGAUGAGUAUAUCGCCUCAAACAACACUUGUUUGGCGGUCAUAAAGAUGCAAAUAAAUGUCCAAAUGUUCCUAUUAUUGUCCAGGUUCAGUAGGGUAGAGUUAGACCAAUUUCAGAGAUUUUGAAGAGGAUAAGGAGAAGAAAGUCGGAGAGAAUCUUGAAGUUGAAAUUAGGCAAGACAAUUGGUGGUGUUGAUGAUCCAGGAAAUUCUAAGGGAAGAACUCUUCUAAUUGAUUGGUGUUGAAUUUGUCUUUGUGUUAUUUGGAUUUAAUUUAUGUGUAUUAGGAUGAUGGUAAAUUUCAUUUGAGUUUAAUGUGUGUGUAUUUGGAUUGUUGUUUGAAUUUAAGGUAAUUGUCUUUGUUACGUACAUGUGAUGUGAAAAAGGUUAUGUUGGUCAUUUUUAUUCCAUGUUGUUGUUAUUGGUAAAUAGAAAAGGGUAAUUUGGUAAAGUUUAGAGUGAAUUUUAAAGUACAUUGUAUUUUGAAAGUAAAGUAAUGACAUAAAAGGGUAUUUUGGUCACUUAUGAAUAUAUAUUGCAUUUUGAAAGUAAAGUCAUGACAUAAAAGGGUAUUUUGGUUACUUAUGAAUGUAUAUUGCAUUUUGAAAGUAAAGUCAUGACAUAAAAGGGUAUUUUGUUCACUUAUGAAUGUAUAUUGCAUUUUUAUGGUAAAGUUGUGACAUAAAAGGGUAUUUUGGUCACUUAUGAAUGUAUAUUGCAUUUUGAAAGUAAAGUCAUGACAUAAAAGGGUAUUUUGGUCACUUAUGAAUGUAUAUUGUAUUUUGAAAGUAAAGUCAUGACAUAAAAGGGUAUUUUGGUCACUUAUGAAUGUAUAUUGCAUUUUGUAAGUAAACUCAUGACAUAAAAGGGUAUUUUGGUCACUUAUGAAUAUAUGUUGCCUUUUUAAGUAAAGUCAUUACAUGAAAGGGUAUUUUGGUCGCUUAUGAAAGUAUGUUGCCUUUUUAAGUAAAUUAAUGACAUGAAAGGAUAUUUUGGUCACUUAUGAAAGUAUGUUGCUUUUUAAGUAAACUCAUGACAUAUGGCUUUGUAUAUUUUUGCAUGGAAAAAUUUGGAAUAAUGUGCAUGCAUGUAAAUGUGUUAUAUGGUCCCAGAUAUGGUUCUACAAUGGGUUGAAAGGUCCCGUUGUUCCAUUAUAAAAACACCUUACUAACUAUUAACUAAAAAUGGUCCCCAUACAUAGUGUAUUUUCACAUGGACCACUUUCUACUUUAUUCUCAAUAUAAUAUCAUGCACAUCAACUAAUUUAGUUAUAUAUAAUAAAAGGAAAACAAGCCAUGCAUGUUUCAAUAACAUAAACAUCUCCAACAUCUUAUUAUAUAAAAUGCCCGACAAUUAGGACUUUCAAUCUGGCUUUACAAUAGUUAUAAAAUGCCCUUUCAUUAGGGAAUUACCAGUUUACAACAUCAACACACCAAGGUUGACACCCCCAAAUUCUAACUAAAAGUUGCUUCCAAACAUACAAAAUGCCAAUCAUUAUUGAGUUUUCUAGUCUGCCUUUACAAAAACAUACAAAAGCUUACAUUAACCACUCUAACUAACUACAAUCACUCCCUAACUUCAAAACAAAAAAAGACCAACCCAAAAAAUAACAUUGCAACUAUCAUCCUGUACCUGCCUAUUGUCUUCCUUGAAUCAGAAACAUCUUUCUCACUCUUUGCCACCUUACACUUCUCAUGUGACAAUAGGAACUCCACUUCAACAAUCAUUGUCUCCAAAUUGUUCAUCUCAGACAGAUCCUCUUUAGCAUCCAGUUUCUGCUUUAUAGAAUAUGAAAGGUUUUUGUAGUACCCUUGUUCAUGUUCAUUGUCUUUCCAAUCAAUUAAAAAAUGAAAAUGUUUUGAUUUAGAUAGUAAAUAAAGAUUAAGGAAAUCAGUUGCGUUUAAUGUACUAACGAAAUGAGUUUGAUUCACGAUCACAAAGAUUCCGCAAGAAGAAAAUAAAAUUACUUUUUUUUCCAAAUGCAAAACUAGCAUGAUAGGCUUUACACGAACAAUCAAACCCUAAAAUACAAAGGUAGCAUGAUUAGGAUUAUUGGGACCUACCAAACUGUUUUGACAAUUCCAGAAACUCGUCUAUUCUAUAUAUUUAUCUCCCACAUCGUCGCCACCGCCGUUGUCAUGUUCUUGGUUCUCCAUCAGAUAAAUGAUCGUCCAUCACACUCACAGGUACUCAGCGCAUUUGUUCUUCUAUUCUCUAUUUUCUGUUGAAUGUUGGGCUGAUUUUUCGGUUUAGAUUUUAUAUUCAACGUCAUUUUUUAAUUUUUAUAUACAGACCCAAAUAAGAUCAUUGCUAUUUUCAUAGGUAGAUUUGUAUUUGAUUUUGUUAUUGUGUUUUUUGGGAUUUAUAUCACAUUACUUAGGCCCAAAAAAUAUUUUGGAAAAGAUAUAGAUAAUAAAUACAAAUUUACAAGACUUGCUAUGUCUUUGAACGGCUAAUUUGGGUCGGUUUAUUUCAAUGCUUUGAUCUUUCAUGGAAAUUGCAUAUUGUAUGUCCCACCCCCACAAAAGCAGAGACCAAUUUGAACCACCCACUUAGAAUGAUUAUCUUCAUAGACCGAGAUUAUAUAAAUGGAAAAUGACUUAAAAGCCCAACGAAGUUUUCAAACCAUUCAAAAAACCCCAGUCAUGUUUUGGUUGUUCAGAAAAACCUAACGAACUUAACAUUUUGUCUAAAAAGUCCAACAAAGUUCCAAACCGUACAAAAAAUCCCAAUUUUGUUUUGUUUAAGUUCGUUGGGUUUUUUUUUGAACAGUUAAAACAUGAUUGGAGUUUUUUAAAUGUUUUGGAAACUUCGUUGGCCUAACAUGUCACUUUUCCGAUACGGUAAUAGGCCACGUCAUCUGUUUCUCGUAUUUGACUUUCAGGAAAGUGUAACUUCGUUGGGCUUUUUAGACAAAAUGUUAAGUUUGUUGGGUUUUUUUAAACAGACAAAACAUGAUUGGGGUUUUUUGAACGGUUUGAAAACUUCGUUGGGCUUUUAAGUCAUUUUCCCUUAUAUAAAUCCUCGGCUUUUAAGUCAUUUUCCCUUAUAUAAAUCCUCACUCAUGAGGGCAGUUCAUAUAUGUAUCAAUACAAACCAAAAUCGCCAAUAUCUUCAUCUACAAUAUGAAUCCUUGUGUUUUUAUAAUUUUCUCACUUCUGUUGCUAACUGCCAGCCAAUUGGAAGGAGAUGAUAGAAAUAUGAAAAAGUGUUUGGAUAAGGAGAGACGCGCUCUCCAUCUUUUCAAAGCUCCCCUUGAUUGCCCCUUUGGUUGUUUCUAUACAUGGACAGCUGAAAUUGAUUGCUGUGCAUAGGGUGGAGUCACAUGUGACAACCAAACAGGUCAUGUCAUAGGGCUUGAUGUCAGUGACUAUUCUCUUGAAGGUAAGUUAAGCCAUUCAUUUCUUAACUUAACCUACUUGAAUCAUCUUCAUCUUUCCAGAAAUUCUCUUCAUGGAACCAUUCCCAGGUCCAUUGGUUCCUUGACUAGAUUAAGCUACCUUAACAUCGGCUUCAAUAAUCUUAAUGGAACCAUUCCUAGGUCCAUUGGUUCCUUGACCAAAUUAAGUUACCUCGACCUUGGCUCCAAUAAUCUUAGUGGAACCUUUCCCACCUUCAUUGGUUCUUUGACUCGAUUAACCUACGUUGACCUUUUCUAUAACUCUCUUUAUGGAACCAUUCCUCAAGAGUUUGGAAACCUCACCAACUUGCAACAUCUUUCCCUUGGACCUGAUGGAGGAUGUAGAGUUGAAAACAUAGAGUGGGUGUCUCAUCUCUCUCAUUUGCAUUACCUCGCAUUGGAUGGGAUUUCCCUAGCCAAACAAAAUCACUGGGUAGAUGUUAUUCUGAGCCUCCCGAAACUCUCAUAUUUAUCUUUAGAUGGAUGUGAGCUAUCACAGAUCAUGUAUCCAUAUUCUUCAUUAAUUCUCAACUCUUCUUCCUCUAUUGUUGAACUUCGACUUGGAAACAACAAUCUGACCUCAUCCAUGUAUCGUUGGUUGCUCCCAUUUACCAGCAAUAGCCUUGUUCAUCUUGAUCUCUCUGGAAACAUGUUAGAUGGGAUACCCAAAUAUCUUGGUAACCUCUGUACUCUGGAAACUUUAUACUUCUCUUACAACUCUGCUGUUGUCAAAUUUUCUGAUUUUCUCAACAACCUGUCUGGAUGCACAUCCCUUUCAUUACAAUACUUGGUGGCUUCUUAUAGCCAAUUUACAGGGCCAUUGUCUGGUGACAUCCAAAACUUUUCAUCCUUAGCACGGUUGGACAUAUCUGAUAAUCACUUAAAUGGAAGUAUAAGUGAGAAACUGUGGGAACUACCCUGGCUCCAAACCCUUGACCUUUCUUUUAAUAAUCUUAGAGUUCCUUCCACAUAUCACUUGUCAAACAUCUCUUAUGUUAAAUAUCUUGAUCUGAGCUCUUGCAAGCUGCUAGGGCCUCGCUUCCCCAAAUGGAUUCACACAUUCAAAAAUCUUUACCAUCUUGAUCUUUCUAAUACUGGAAUUUCAGACACAAUUCCUUUGGAGUUUUGGGACGUGUGGCCUUAUCCUUUAACAUAUCUGAAUCUCUCUUCCAACAAUAUUAGUAGGAAAGUGCCAGAUUUAUUUUUAAUCUUUGACGCAUAUUCAGUGAUAGAUUUGAGUUCCAACAGCUUUUAUGGUCCAAUACCUAAAUUCUCUUUCGAAAUGGAAUCAAUAAAUCUUUCCAGAAACAAAUUCUCUGGAGGAAUCUCUUUCAUAUGCCAAGCUGUUUAUGGAUUCUUAUUAUUUCUUGACCUCUCUCAUAACUCAUUAAGUGGACAACUCCCAGACUGUUUGUGGAAUUUCGAUUCCCUAACAGUUCUUAAUCUGGGGCACAACAAUUUCUUUGGUAGGCUUCCUCCCUCUAUUGGAUCUAUGAUAGAACUCCAGGUGUUGUAUUUAUACGAUAACAACUUCUCUGGAGAAUUGCCUUUCUCUUUAAAAAAUUGCAAGAGUUUAAUCUCGUUGGAUUUGGGGGCCAACAAGUUUUCUGAUAACGUGCCUGUCUGGAUUGGGGAAAACUUAUCAGGGUUGAAUGUUCUUAUCCUAAGAUCAAACAAAUUCUUUGGAACCAUCCCUUUACAGUUAUGUCAGUUACCUAAUCUUCAAAUUCUAGACCUGUCAAUGAACAGUCUCCAUGGAACCAUCCCUUCAUGUUUGAGUAAUCUUACAAACAUGGUUCAACAAGGAGGAUUCUCACAAGAUGUAUUGUUUUAUGAAAGAAUAAGAGGUUAUGCAACUAGAGCGGGGAUAUAUGUCGACCAUGCACUGAUCGAGUGGCAAGGAGUUGAACGUGAAUUCUUUAGCACUCUGAAAUUGUUGAAGGCCAUUGACCUGUCAAGCAACAAUUUAACAGGACAAAUCCCAUAUCAAAUUACCAAUCUUUCUGACUUGGUUUCCCUGAAUCUGUCAAAGAACGCUCUAUCCGGAGAGAUCCCACAGAAAAUUGGUGAGAUGAAAAAGCUUUUGACUUUGGAUUUAUCCAGAAACAAUUUCUCAGGGCAGAUACCAUCAAGCAUGUCUCAGAUGAGUUUACUGAAUUACCUAGACUUGUCAUUUAAUAACUUGUCAGGGAGAAUCCCAACAAACACUCAGCUCCAGUCCUUUCAACCUUCAAGAUAUGUUGGAAACAAAGGACUAUGUGGACCUCCCCUUACCAAAAAGUGUCCUGGAGAUGAAGAACCAGUAGCAACAUCGGUGAUUGGUAAAAAUGAUGGUGAUGGGGAAGACACAGAUGAUGAACUUGAGAAAUGGUUUUAUAUUGGUGGGGGCAUGGGUUUUGCCACUGGAUUUUGGAUGGCAUGUGGGGCUUUACUUCUCAACCGCCGUGGGAGACAUGCAUUUUUUCAGUUUUAUGAUAGCUUCAAAGAUUGGGUUUAUGUGUUCAUUGCAAGCUUGAAGAUGGCUAGACAUACGUAGUUUGUUAUCUAAUUUCUAUUUUAACUUCUUAUUUCUCGGUAUAGAAUGUAAUUUGGCUGUGGUUUUUAAAUCCCGAAUAACAAUAAAGUUGCGACUAACACAUGGGUGGACACCAUGGGUGGCCAAUUUCCCCGUGUUGUUUGAAAAUUAUAUUUGUACAAAAACCGGUUUGGAAAACUAUUAUUUAGUAAUUAAUCAGCCUAGUGGCUUGGACGGGAAGACUUCUUGAAGUUUUUUGGUUUUUACAAUUGAUUCAAUAGAAAUUCAUCCUCUCUCAUUAUCCUCCACGUUUCCAUUUAUUGCCUAGUAUUCUUAUCAGUUAUACUCUGAACAAAGAAAAGUCAUUUUAGUUGGAACAAGGACAAAAAAACACAUUACAAAAACCUCAAAUAAGGACCAAAAUUAUUGCAGAAAACCUUUUGGGGCCAAAAUUAGAAAAUAUCAGGUAUAUUCAAGGACUGAAAAUGUAAAUAACUCUUUAACAUUUAUUAGAAAAUUAUUACUCUUAGUUUUGCCGACCCUUGUUAAAAUCAUGGUAUUUAGAUUGGUAAAUUUUUGUUUCUCCUGGUACCGUGACAUGGAUUUUCCUACGGUACCUAUAAAUUUUAUAUAAAGUAAAUAUUUUAAAUCUAAUUAAGAUGCUUUGUUAUUGAUAAACUUUUGUACUACCAUUGCAGCAUUGUCAAAAUUGUUCUUAACAUGUGAAUAUGCAAGACAUGGGUCUGUCACCUAACAAGUCAAAAAGUCAAAAAGUCAAAAGAUGGUUAGAAUGGCAAUAUUGUAAAUUGAUGAAAUGAGGACUAAUCAUUUUACUUGUUGUAAAUCCAAUGUCAUCAUAAUCCAAACCUAGUAGAAGACUUGGAUAUAGUCUUUGUUGAAUCUUUGUAUGUGAAAUCCAAAGAGACGAUCCCUUAAGCUAAGAAGAUAUGUAUAGUUAUUUUACAUUGGACAAGGAGCAAAUCACAUGACCAUUAUUUCAGUUUACUCCUAAAGAAAUUAUUAACAACCUUAAGCUUUUAGAUAAAAUGAUUUAGAAGGUCGUAAUACAUUUUUAUGAGCUAUAAAAGAUGUUACUUGGGCUUAACAAACUCUUUUAUAAAGUUUUUUAGAGCACAUCAAUGUAAGAGCGAAUUUCAGGAAUUAAGAGAAAUAAAAUAUAAUAAUAAAAAUCAAGACUGUGAAAUGGUAUUGCUACUCUUUAGUAGUAAUAAUAACAAUAACAAUAACAAUAACAAUAAUUUAUAUCAUAUAACAUCCGAAUCCAGGUAAUUUUUUUAAGUACUUGAUAUAAAUUAAAUUGGCAAAGAAGACCCUUAGUACGCUAGGCAUACGUGUAUGUAAGCUUAGCGUAUAUAGGCGCAUUGAUCAGGCAGCUGCGAGCAUGUACGUGGGGCGUACAUGGACAAAAAGCUGAAACCCUAAUUCUCGUUUUUGAGCCCUAUUUAAGCUCAUUUAUGACCUUUGGACCUCAUUCUUAACAGCCUCCACUGCAUUUAAAUGUCCCUAAAAACCCUAUUUGCCAUUAGAGGUGAUCUUUGAGCUUAAAGUCACAUUAAUAGCCGUUUUUGGUGUGUUUCCAAGAAGAAGUUGUGAGCAAGCCUUGGACGUGGUUGAGCUUCAAGAUCCUGAAUCUACAUCAUCUUGAGAAGCUUUUGGAGGUAAAAGUUCAUACCUUGUUGAUCCUUUUGCUAGUUUGAGUUAGGGUUUGGUUAUAAGUUCAUUUUUGGCCCAUGGAUCCUUUUUUGUGAGUUUGGGCAACUCCAGAGGUUAGAAAUGCUAAAUCUUAGUCCCUUUGGCAUGUUAGAAGCAUAAAAAUGCUAUCUUGAUGGUUGUUAUGGCACCAUGCAUGGGCUUAGGUCGUUAAAGUGAGUCUUAAUGGACAAAAUGGGAUGUUGGGCUCCCAUAAGGCAUGCAAAGGCAUAAAGUUGCUAACUUUAUGCCUUAGGACCCCUUAAAUGACCAAGACAUGGAAUUUGACGAAGUGGCUGGAUGUAAUAAGCACUUAAUGGCUAAAUAUGCUUAACAGCUUAGUAUGUUGGGCGUACUAAGAUGUAUGAUGCAUGUACUGCCUGAAGAUCAAGUACGCUAAGCGUACUGAGAAUGUACGUUGCGUGUACGCCCAGUGGGCUGUUGGACAUGUUUUGGACUUUUGGGCCUUAACUAGUUUUGGGCCUUGGCCUGUUUAUAAUAAGUGGGCUUAGUUUUCUGUUGUGGGCCUUGUGUGUCAUGGUUUGGGCCUUUUAUGCCAAGGGGCCCGUUAUUAUAGAUGGACCGAAUAUGGUUAGGUCCAUUAUGGGAUAGACGAAAUAGGCCAUAGUGUAACUUUCGAUAUUUUCUAAGGUAUUUAUUUAAUAUUGGUUAUUUAAUUAUUAAGAGUCAAGCCUUGGACGUUUUCAUUUGGGGCUUAGUGUGUGCAGUAUGCGGGGCGUACCACCCUGUGUACGUUGGGCAUACUAAUGUGGACUGAUUGCGAGUGCCAUUCACGUACACGCUGCGUACAAAGGAGUACGCGCAGCGUACGUGUCCAGAUCCCAAAACCCUAAUAUUUAGGGUUUGAGCACUAUUUAAAGAACAUUAUGCCCUACAGAUCUUCUUUAUCAGCCUCCCUUUUGUCCCUUAACAGCCUCUAUGAAACCCUAACCCCAUUGUUGAGUGUUCUUGAGCUUGGAAGGUCUUUUGAGUGCAUUUUGGUAUGUUUUGUCUCAUUUUCAAGGAAGAGAAGGUUGGAGUAAGGUGGUGGUUCAAGGAGAAGCUUGUAGAUCCGAAUUAUUUGCUCCGAUCCAUUUCUAGCUUGUGCAAUAUAUAAAGUAUUGAUCUUGAUCUUUAGAAGCUUAGAUCUCCAUGUUUUAGCUUUUGGUCCCAUAGAUGAGCUCUUGUGGAUUAUUUUCGUUUCUGAAGCUUAGAGUUGCUACUCUUGGUGUUCUUUGGGUCCUAGAGUCAUAAAGUUGCCACCUUUGAAGCUUUAAUCCAACCAUGCAUGAGUAAUGACCAUUUUUAUGGAAGUGGAAUGUUAUAUUUUGAGUUUGGGCCUAUUUGGGGCAUGUAAAGCCACCAAGUUGUCAACUUUAUGGGCUAAGAUGUAACACCCCAUUUAAUCAAUAAACAAAUAAACUAAUUAAUAGAUGUAAUUUCCGGACAGAAUUGUGAAGAAUUUUAACAGUUGAGGAGUGUUUAGUAAAUUACGGAGUUGAUUGAGAAGAAUCUUAGAAGCAAGGGUAUGUUUGGUAAUUAUUAGGACUUAUUAUGAAAGAGAAUUAUGGAAUCAAGGGAAAAAGGAUAAAUAUUGGAUUUAGUUUGUAAAGGAUUUUAAUGUCAAGUGCUAAAAGGGUAAAAUUAGGACCCACUUUGAAAGAAAAGGGGAGGGGAGGGGCCAAAGGUGGCAUUAUGGAAGAAAGAUUCAAGGGGUGUCGGGUAUAUAAUAUUACCCGCCACCCCUUUCUUCACAUCCGGUCGCCGCCAUCACCAUAGAAGCCCUGUUCCAGCCGCCGCCUCCAUUGUCGACGAUGACAAACUCGACUACCGCCACUCCAAGCAAUUGAGGUGCGAAACUGCAGCCUCCGUUUCUCCGACCUCCCUUCGCCAUCAUCUUCCCAACAGGCGUUAUAGUCGCCGCCACUCCAAGCAAUUGAGGUGUGAUGCUGCAGCCUCUCCGACUACCACGUGCCACCGCAAGGGUGGUGGUGUUUAGAUGUAUUUCCGGUGCGAACUAGCGUAUGUUGACGUUUUUCGGAGCAACAAACCAAAAGAAAGCAUCGCCACCACAGUGUGGUGGUGGCUGACGACGCAACCUGCCGCUUUUCCAGGGUUCUGUCACCGCCAUGUACGCCGCCAGGUGGUGGUUGUGUUGCUAUUUCGAGCAUAGUAGUGGGUGUGUAUUAUUUCAGUGAUGUAUGAUUGGGUUUGUUGGCCGGAUAUAUCAAGAAAGCAACCGCCACCAGUGUGAGAUGGUGGCUUCCACCACGAGCCACCGCCGGCCACCACUAGGGUGGUUGUGUCUGUGUGUGUUAGAGUAGUUAGUGCGUGUGUUUAUUUGUGGAUUAAAAGCUUGUAAUUGUAAUUAGCAAAUGAGUAAUGAAAAGAACCAUAACCACAACCGUAGGGUGGGCGCCGUGAGCCGCCAUUGACCACCACUACCCGAGGUGGUAGUGGGUGGUUCCCCACUAGCAAAACCCUAAUGUGCUUAAAGAUUAUUUGGGUGGAAACCCUAAUUUCACUUGGCCUUAUGUUGGGCCUUUCUGUUGGGCUUUGGUGUUUGAGCUUAUAAUGGGCCAUCCAAGAUCAAUCAUUGGACUGAAAUAUUUAGAUGGGCUUUAGGGUAAGGCCCAUAUGAGGGUGUAGGCCCAAUUUAGAAAAUUGGGCCAUAGAUGGGCCAUAGUUUGGGCCUUAAUGGUUAUAUGAUAUUGGGCCAUUAGAAAUAUCAAAUGUUGGGACUGGACUAAGUAGUUGGGCCUUUAAUUAUGACCAUGUAAAGGUUUGGGCCCAAUUUGGAAAAUUGGGCCAUAUGUUGGGCUUUGACUCAUAGUUGACUGUUAAGCCUUUGGAUUGGUCCUUGGGAUUGGAUCAAGCUAAGAUUGGGGUAAAGCAGUCUUUUACCCCAAGCAUGGACUUAUGAGUAUAUGUGAUGGAACCUUAUUAUUAAUUGGGUGUUAUUUUGAUGUUGACAGAUUCAGGAAUCUGUUAUCCAUCAGCUAGGGUUUUGUCAGCGGGACUUCAGCAGUGUGAGGUGAGUUUUCCUUCAGUAGGAACGGGUCUAAGGCACCAAUGUCGACUCGUUUAAGUAGUAGAGUAUGUCGGGGUUUAGCCCGAUGCAUUUUAUAUGUUUCCGAACUUCGGUCCGAUGUCAGGGCUGUCCCGAAAAGUAGUUAAGUAUGCGUGAUGUCUUUGUGAUUCAUGCAUGUUAUAUGAUAUGUGUUAAGUGUUCCGGGCUUCGGUCCGAUGUCGGGGCAAGCCCAAUGUAUGUUAGUUACAUGUUAUAUGUUAUGUGUUCCGGGGUAAGCCUGAUGUUGGGGCAAGCCCGAUGUAUGUUAGAUAUUAUACUAUGUAUUAUGUGUUCCGGGGCAAGCACGAUGCAGAUUAUGUGAUUAUGUUGUAUGUUAUAUGUUCCGGGCUUCGGUCCGAUGUCGGGCAAGCCCGAUGCAGAUUAUGUGAUUAUGUUAUGUGUUUAUGAUAUAUGUUAUGUUGUGUAUGUGUCGGGGUAAGCCCGACGCCGGGGUGAGCCCGAUGCCCGAUGCGGUCGAAUGCCGGGGUGAGCCCGAUGCCGGACAGGAGUCUGAUGCCGGGUAAGCCGAUGUCGGGAUUCGUCUCGAUGCAGCUGGGAGUAGUCCCAGAGUUAUGUUAUUUGUUAUAUGUGCUUGUAUGGUAUGUGGUGGUUUAGGGAGCUCACUAAGUUUCAUGUUUACAGUUUCAGUUUUGGUUUCAAGUACUUCAGCUAGCAAAGGAGAGGGCUCGAGUUGAUGGCAUGGCACACACCACAGUUUAUUAGCCUGGGAGCUUACUCUGAUAUUUUAUAUGAGACUGUUAUAUGUUGACAGAUUUUAUGAGAUUUUGAGAUACAUGAUUGAUGAUUUUAUUUUAUGGUGGCAAUAUUAUGUUUGUUAAAUGAUUUUAAAAACGAAAAUUUUGGCUUGUAUUUUUGGGAUGUUACAAGUUGGUAUCAGAGCCUUGGUUUGAAGGAUUCGGGCACACUUUCGGGCGUGUAUGAACUCAAACUAAGGAAUUGGUAUAGAAAUUUUCAAAAGGAAAAUCAAUUUUUGCAAAACAAAAUAGUUUUAGAAAAAGGGAAAAGAAUUUUUUUAGUAAGAAAAGAACUUUGAAAAGAGAAAAGGGUGUAGUGAAUGCAAUCAGUCGAGCUCAAGUGAGUACUCCCAAAUUACCCAUACAAGUUUAUGCUAUGUUUAUGAUUAUCAACUUUAUUUAUACAUCAUGCUAGAUUAGGACUAAGGAUCUAGGAAGGAUGCCUUAUGUUCCUAUUAUGUGUUUCAACUUUUUGAGAACUGCAUGCUAGUACAGAUUAGUCAGGAUGAUAGCCUGAGUAGUAUAUGCUUGAUUAUGUAUACUCAAUGUCCGAAUGCUGCUUGCUUUGUGCUUUUAGGAGUUCUAGUUGUCUUUCACUAACUAGUAAAAAAAAUGUUAAGUUACAUAUUGCAAGGACUAAAUAAUUUCCAGAAGGUUAGGUCUAGCUCUAUUUCGCAACUCUUGUUUGAGUCCAACCGUUGUAGGGUAGGAUCUCUCAUUCAAAGAAUUAUCUAGUCUGGGUAAUAUGUAAUAGUAUUUGCGAGUUAGUUAGGGGGAGGUAGUAGGACUUCUUAUGCAACUGAUGGCGGAGAGUGGGUUGGUGAUUACCCUAGGGAAAACCUAGGAAGAGUUUAGUAUGAGAUCAGCAGUAGUAGUAGAAGGGACUUGGUGGAGUCGAGGCAGUUCUUGAGAAAAGUACGGAUAUAUGUGGAUGGUAGUAUGGGCCCGUAGAAAGCAGAGCACCCGUACUCGAAUCAAGGAAGGCUGAGAUGAACCCAUGGACCUUGUAGUGUGUGAGAUCCCUCGAGUUAUGAUGAGUACUAUGAAGAUUGUGCUGGUAUGUUUUCGAGUAUAGUGACGUUACGUGAUAGACCAGAUGGCAGUUCUGGUGCCGACGAGGGAUCAUGCUCAGACUCUGGAGUUGGGCAGCUUGAUGGUCAUAUGAGGGAGUUUAUUCCAUCUGAGGGUACACGCAAUAUCAUUAACCAAACUCCUGUGAUCUUCAAUAUGAUCAAAAGAGGGUAUUUUAGAGAUUUGUGAUGAGAGGCUGAGUGCAUUCUACACAGAGAUAGCAACCAUGAUAGGGACGCGUGCGUUUGUGAUUUAGGAAGUUCAGAGCUUGUGAAGCUCUAGACUAUCAUGGGGCUAGGGACCCUAUUGCUAGCACCAGGUGAUUGGUAGAUAUCACCAAUAUUUUCGUACCGGCCAUAGUCUGGAAAGGAGACAAGGACCGACUUGCCUCCUGCCUCCUGAAGGACAGGUCAUGUGAUUGAUGGAAGAAGUUGGUAGAAGGUUGAGUGAUGAUGUGAUCGAUGCUAUGUCAUUGGAUGACUUUUAGAUCAUACUCUGGACAGAGCGUGUCCAGGCCAUUAAGGUGCAAUAGUUGCCGCGAGAGUUGUUAGAUCUCCACCAGACGACGGAGACUGUGGCAGAGAUCACUUCCAAGUCUCGGGAGACAGCUUAGUUCGAACCACAGUAGGUUAGAAGAGGAGGAAAUGAAGAAGGUAAGAUAUCAGGACAUACUGCAGAAUGAUAGCAGAGAGAUCGUGAGUUUCUCAGGGUGUGAGACCCUAAGUGAUAUGACUUCUAGAGCCCGAGAACGGUAAAUUGACUUGGAGCACAUUAGGAAGAGGGAACCAUAUCAGUUGCUUAUACUAAAGGGUCUCGGAAGGAGAACCAAGAUUUAGGAUUAGCUUUCGAGAGACCAGCAGGACCAGAUUCGGUGUAGCACUUGCGGGAAACUGCACAAGGGGGCCUUUCGUUCCAAGGGUUUGAGUAAGUGUGACUUUGGGUUAUCCUCUGUCUAUGUUUGAAUUAUACUUCCAAGAAAUGGCAUAUGCCAAUUGCAUACCGAGAAUUAUUAGCGGAUAGCAAAAGAUCAUUUCCCAAAUUGCAGGAUUGGGGGAGUACAACGUCAUCUUGGUUUAUUCCAAGACUGAGGAGCAGCACGAGGAGCACCUGAGGGAGGUGCUAGAGACUUUGAGGAGGGAGAGACUUUUUGCAUGGUACUCCAAAUGUGUGUACUGGUUGCGCGAGCUGCAAUUUCUUGGGCACCUUGUCAAUCAGGAGGGUAUUCUAGUUGAACCGGCCAAGAUAGAGGUCGUGAUGCAGUGGGAGAAUUUGAGGUCUCUAAUUGAGAUUCGGAGCUUCGUGGGUCUAGCGGGUUAUUACCAUAGAUUUAGUCGGGACUUUUCCAAGAUUGCAGUUCUUUUGACCCGACUGACCAAGAAGUCGGUGGCCUUUUGCUAGGGGCCUGAGCAACAUACAACUUUCGAGACUCCCAGACGGUUAAGUGUUUCAGGAAGUUUAGUGCUUCAGACAUUUUCAGUGUCUCAACCAGCAAUGGCAUUUUGGAUAAGUUUCGCAUCCUUGUCAGGAAGAAGACAGCCCAAGCGGCUGUAUGGUUUGAGGAUAGUGUGAGAUGGAAGUUCGGGAAAAAACUUGCCAAUAAGGAGAUCGCGUUCCCGUAAUAUUUACCAGCAAGCCUUAGGGAAUCAAGUUGGGGAUUCCAGUCAGGACAUGAGUUCAGUUGAGUGCGGGUCAAGCGCAUGUUCGAUCUAGUAUGGAAGGUGUUGUAAGUCUGUUGGUGUAGCCGUAGCAUUCACUAGCAGCCAGAUAGUGUUAGAGUGUUGUAAGUCUGCGGGUGUAGCUGUAGCAUUCACUAGCAGCCAUAUAGUAUUAGAGUGUUGUAAGUCUGUGGGUGUAGCUGUAGCAUUCACUAGCAGCCAGAUAGUGUUAAAGUGUUGUAAUUCUACGGGUGUAGCCGUAACAUUCACUAGCAGCCAGAUAGUGUUAGAGUGUUGUAAGUCUGCGGGUGUAGCCGUAGCAUUCACUAGGUUGGUAGAUAGCGUGAGUGCUUUGUUAGGACUCGGAAAUAACAGUAGUACCCACCAGUUCAGGUGUAGUAGUGAGGAUAUGGAAAUCCACGAUUUGGAUUUCGGAAUUACCAGAUGGUUUAGAUUUGGUUGAGCCGGUGAUAAGACUGUAGGAGCGCCACUAGACUUAUGGAAUCACGGAAGCAAUGGACCGAAUCAGAUUGCUUGUGAUAUCAAGCUACCAUUAGUCAGGUAGCAGUCAUUUUUAGCCUUGGAUUUGGAGGAUGCUAGCAUCCGACGUAUGGACUCGACCAGUUAGAUCAUAAACUUAUUAAAGCCUCAGUGGCGUGAUAACUAGUUCCAGAGGAGGAUUUCGUUUUGAAGUCGUGUGAGGCGACUAAGUGGGAGUCUUUUGACGCCGUAGCCAGGCUAGAACCCGGUAUUUCAGAUGAAUGAUGGAUGAAUUGAGACCGGGAAAGUCUCGAUAGAUUUUGGGAAAGCAGUCAUGUAGUAGCAUGUUGUUUCAGGCAGUUUCAGUGAUUGAGCAGUGUUAGUAUUUGUGUAGGUUGCAAGCACGGGCAAAAUAGCUGGUUGACUGGGAAGUGACAAGUCACUCACAGCGAGAUUUGUUGAGCCUUGGCCAAGUAUAAGUGAUCUGUAGGGAUAUUGGGCAUGUGAUCCUAUUUUAUGGUGGGAGACUUCGAGCUAUUAGAAAUUGAGCAGCCAGUUAAGAGAUAAGCAGGCUGGUUUCAUCGAUAAUGAUUCAGUAUGAGUGGUCUGUCAUGGAACCAGACCAUCUCAAGACAACAUAUUUCAGACAAAGUAGAUGUGGACUUGUUGCGAGGAAUUCGUUCACCAGUAGAAUUUAAGGCUUUGCAAAAAUUGGUCAUGGCUACCUUGAGAAGGCUAAGGUGUGCCCAGGAUUGUGGUCAGGUUCCUUGAGUGGGUUGGCAUGUAAGAAUGAUAACGGUUGAUUUCGAGGACGAAAUCUAAUUUAAGUGAGGGAGAGUUGUAACACCCCGUUUAAUCAAUAAACAAAUAAAUUAAUUAAUAAAUGUAAUUCCCGGACUGAAUUGUGAAGAAUUUUGAUAAUUGAUGGUUGUUUAGUAAAUUACGGAGUUGAUUGAGAAGAAUCUUAGAAGCAGGGGUAUGUUUGGUAAUUAUUAGGACUUAUUAUGAAAGAGAAUUAUGGAAUCAAGGGAAAAAGGAUAAAUAUUGGAUUUAAUUUGUAAAGGAUUUCAAUGUCAAGGGCUGAAAGGGUAAAAUUAGAACCCACUUUGAAAGAAAAAAGGAGGGAAGGGGCCAAAGGUGGCAUUAUGGAAGAAAGAUUCAAGGGGUGUCGGGUAUAUAAUAUUACCCUCAACCCUAACCCUAGGAGCAUAGCAGUCACAACCUCAUCUCCGAUUGGUGCCACCCCUUUCUUCACAUUCGGUCGCCGCCAUCACCAUAGAAGCCCUGUUCCAGCCGCCGCCUCCAUUGAUGACGAUGACAAACUCGACUGCCGCUGCUACUUUUGUGGUAUGAGGAAGCAACUCCCACCACUGGGUGCGAGCAUCCCAGUCGCCAUCACCAUUGUUGCGUUUUUCCGAUGGGUCGAGCCACCAAGCGUGGCAGCCUCUAUCCCCGUACGAGAGCAGUCAAUAGUGUGACUGUUGGGUCUACGUGCGUUGCCGUUUCUCCGACCUCCCUUCGCCAUCUUCUGCCCAGCAGGCGUUAUGAUCGCCGCCACUCCAAGCAGUUAAGGUGUGAUGAUGUUGUCGCUCCGACUACCAGGUGCCACCGCAAGGGUGGUGGUGUUUAGAUGUAUUUCCGGUUUGAACUAGCCUAUUUUGACGUUUUUUAAAGUAGCGAACCAAAAGAAAGCAUCGCCACCACAGUGUGGUGGUGGCUGACAACGCAACCUGCCGCUGCCGCCUUUCCAGGGUUCUGUCGCCGCCAUGUACGUGCCAGGUGGUGGUUGUGUUGCUAUUCCGAGCAUAAUAGUGGGUGUGUAUUAUUUCAGUGAUAUAUGAUUGGGUUUGUUGGCCGGAUGGAUCAAGAAAAGUGGUCGCGCGCUUCCAUUUCGCAUGCAUGGUCCUCCAUGCCAACUUUUUAAGGGACCAUUUAUGCCAAUAACUUCCAACUGUAGACGAGUUGGAGAGCCCCAACUCGACGAGUUGACGCUGCGAAAUGAAAACCCUAAUCUUCGGACAUUUCACCCUAUAUAAAGAACAUUAACUUCUAGGACUGGCCUCCUUGCCUAGAGAAAACCCUAGACUCGCCUUCCUCCUUGUUCAUUGAGUUUUGUUAGUGUUCGAGUGAUUGUUUGAAAUCUUUGAAUGAGGUUUUGAAGAGAGAAGUAUCAAGCUUGGAGGAGUGAACUUGGAUCCAGAAACUCUACAUCAAGGGCUACAUCUUUGAGGUAUAAAGUCAUAACCUUGACAUGUAGCUUAUUAGAUCUCAUCUUUUGAAUUUUAAGCAUGAUUUUGGGAUCUUGGGUUGAAUUGUCCAAAAGAAAAAGAUUCCAGGGGUUGUCAAGCUAGAUCUGACCCCUCCAUGGUAUCCUGAGGCUUAAAGUUGCAAACUUUAAUGGCCUCCAUGUCCCUUUCAUGCAAUAUGUUCAUUAGAAAGCCCAAUAUGGACCCUAGAGAGUGUUAAAAGUAUGCAUGGGCGUAAAGAUAGAAAAUUUACAAGAUUUCCCGCCUUUGGACAUCAGAUCUGUGUUUUGGGAUGUUGAGAUGAGAGUUUAAGGGCUUAAUGGGUCAAGACCUUCCUUAAAGGAACUAGGGUUUGGGUUUAGAGCCUAUUGGGUGAAUCUUGGGGUAAAGUUGGAAACUUUACCCUUCUAGACAUUUCUAGGAAUGGAGAUCUGAAGUUUGGAACCAUUGGAUUCGAGAAAAAGGGCUUAAUGCAUUAAGUGAGUUGACAGACUGAAGAACUCGACGAGUUCACAAGGGAACUCGGCGAGUUGGGUUAGGUUUACCUCGAUUUUGUUGGAAAACGGAGGAACUCGACGAGUUAUAGGAGAACUCGAUGAGUUGGAUCGCAAUAUCGUGAUUCUGGCUUUGGGAUGGACUCGACGAGUUACAGAGGUUACUAGACGAGUUAGGUCAACUCGGAGUGUUGACUUUGACCUUGACCAGGGUUGACUUCUAAGGGGUUUGAAGGGUUGAGUUUUAUCUAAGGAAUUGUUUAUGAUUAGGGAGGUGGCAGAGCUGACACUCGGAGUUUGGACCUACUUAGUUACAGUUUGCAUUUGAGGUGAGUCUCUUCACCAUACCAAUGGGUCGAAGGCACUAAGGUCGGCCCAUUAUGUGUUAUGUGGUAUGCUAGUUGGUUAUGUGGUAGGUAGUAUGCUAGUUGUCUUGGUGAUACUUGCAUGGAAGACCUCGGGGGGGGGNNNNNNNNNNNNNNNNNNNNNNNNNNNNNNNGGGGGGGUUCCCAAGGCAAUUGGAUAUAAGACCAUGUAGGGGUUCCCAUGACAUUCCAGGCUAAGACCAUGUGGGGGUUCCCAUGACAAUUCCAGGCUAAGACCAUGUGGGGGUUCCCAUGGCAGUUAGUUAAGACCAUGUGGGGGUUCCCAUGGCAGUGGGCUAAAACCAUGUGGAGGUUCCCAUGACACCCGGUAUAAGACCUUGGAGGGUUUCCAGGCAUCCUUAUAUGUUUGUAUGCAUGGCUUGUAUGGUUGAUAUGGUUUAUGUGAUUAUGUGAAUUGUGUGGGGUAUGUUAUGGGGAACGCACUAAGCAUUACCUUACAGUUUGUUGGUUGUUUCAGGUACUUCAGGAUCUAAGGACAAGAGCCUAGCGUGAUGGCGCGGCAUGCACUCUCUGGCGUUUUAUUGGGGACACUCUGAUAUUUUGAAUAAUUUAUCUGAUGUUAUGGAUAUUGAAAACAAAUGUGAUUGGAAUUUUAUGUUUUAUGAAGAUGAUUCCAUUAUUUAAAUGAAAAUUUUUAUUGGAAAUUUUAGGCUGUUACAAGGCCAACAUACCCAGGUGGGCUAGCGGUGUGAUGUAGGCUAGUGGUGGAUCAACAGAAAGUUGAGAGGGAGCAGUCCAUGUGCACUAUAGGCCUUGCGAGGCGGGCUAAUCCAACUGUAGACUCGAGGGAAAUCCAGUCUUAUGUUUUGGGCCCGAUAUGCAUGUAUUGUAUGUAUAUUGUGAUGUGUGGUAUUUUGGGGGAACUCGCUAAACUUUGGCUUACAGUUGUGGAUUUAAUGUGUUUCAGGUACCAAUAGUGAUCAUAGGAAGGUGAAGGCAUGAUUGUACACAUUCAUUAGCAACCGUGGAUAUUUUGUGUCUACUAUAAUAUUCUGAUUUUGGCAAAUGUAUCUUGGAACAAAUGGUCUUUUUUAAAAGGGAUUUUAUAAAUGUGAAGUUUUACCUUUGAGGUCUAGUUCAACUGGAAGGAGACACGCCUCACUUUUCCCCUCCCAAGGGUUUCUGGGGGAAUGAUGUCGAGUUCUAUCCGUGUCCAAAACAGUGAAACCCCUUAAUAGGAAACUAGUUUGCUAAGGAUGAUGUUGUUAUCUCUCCAGAGAGCGAUUGAACCAAGGUUCGUUGGGUGUUACGGCAUAUUGUCCUAUCGGAUGUCAUUGCCCGCUACACGGAACCACCCUUCAAUAUAUAUAUAUAUAUAUAUAUAUAUAUAUAUAUAUAUACACACACACACACACACACACAGAGAGAGAGAGAGAGAGAGAGAGAGAGAGAGANUAUAUAUAUGAAAAUUUUAUUGUGAAAAAUAAGACAUUACAAACUUACAGUAUAUAUGGUUUUCAUUAAGAGGAAAAAGCACCAUUAUACCAUCAUGUGAGAGACAUUUUCCUGGGUAAAAUUUAAAUCUAACGGAAAUGGAUGGAAGGACUAUCAGUGUAAGUAAUUACACCCUUUAUAUUAAAAUGAUGAGAAAAAACAAAUUGAACUUGGAGUGCAAUUGUGGAACAAACAUAGGGAAUUUUAUACAAUGGGAUAGUACUUUUAAAAAAUAUUUACCAUAUUUUGGAAUUUAAUUACCAAAAGAUAGUAUGUACAUUUGAUUUUUAUGAUUAUCUUUAUUCUCAGCAGCACCCAUUCAAACCACAUCACAAAAACACUCCAAGCUCUUGCUCAUCCAUUUCCGACGACUGCAUAAUCUCAUGCCACCUUCAUCUCCCUCCUAAGAACCUUCCAUUUUAAGGGAAAUUUUUUCCUUUUCCAGCCAAUCCAAUAUAAUCCAUAAAGUACCGGUGACAUUACUUGAGAGCCAUAUAUGGAUUAAUCUUGAAAAUUAGUAUGUACAUUUGAUUUAAUAUAAGCUUCAUAACCUUUUACACCCAGAUGAACAGAAGGAAUGCAUGUAAAAUUCCGUUGUUGGCACCAGAAAUCGUGUUUCAUGGACUCAUGGAUGAAGAUUAUAAUGUCUAGUAAAUCAUAUCGACUCUUUAAAACCUAAAAAUAAUACAAUUCCAGGUGAGACUAACUUCAGAAAACAAAGAUAUUGAAUUGGAUUCCGUUAAACAUUGAAUCCAACAAAUGAUUGUCAAUGGAAUAACAUUACCAAUAGAUCUCUGAUACUCCUACCAGGAAGUUCUAGGUUAAAUCAGAGUUUUAAGGGAUUUGAAUGUACAAAAGCAUCAAGGAAUGGUACUGAGCAACUUGUUGUAGGGGAGGUCGAUAUGCAAAAGGCUUUCAUUACACGCGACGGAAUAUCAAAUAGGAAUUCAGAUCUUCAGAGGAGAUAUCGAGAAAUUAAAUUGGUGAUCGUGAAUGUGAGUAAAGAAUUAUAAGCAAACAUCAUGCAGAUACAUAAACUGUAUAGUUGUAAUUUUCAAAGUAAACCAAUGAAUUCUAGAGUUCAGGUGAAGUCGCAAAGAAUUGAAGAUUAUAAUAGAUGCAUAUGGAGAAGGAAGCAAAUGAGUGGAAAAGAUGCUGCAAUAACCGGUGAGGGAGGGAGAAAUCGCUGGGCGAGGAAGAAGACACGUGUGAGGCCAGGCGGGUUGCUUUUUUUUUCUUAUUUUAAUAAAUUUCAAAGCACCAUUAAUUUGGUAAAUACUUUUUAAAAAUACAAUCUUUUGUAAAAAACUCCAAACAUAGGGGACUAAUGUAAUUUAAUGAUGAUACCUUGUAAAUCGCCCAACAUUCCCAGUUUCCCUCUGUUCUUGAAGACUUUGAAUACGUGGAUCCGACUCCGUUUCCUCAGUUUUAAAUACUAUCUAGUUAACUAUGCUUGACAUACUUGUACCAGGUGAAGUAAAAGUCGUACUCUACUAUCAUGUUUUCAAAUUGCAAAAAUCAAACCAUAAUACGUAAAUUGACCCUACAUUACAGCUUUUGGACGAAUCUAACAGAGUACCUUCAGUUUUGUUAUAACUGGUUAUAGUGAAAAUAAAUAUUAAAAAUUUGUUUUGGUAAUACAUAUUCAAAUUUAAUUAUAACAAAACUAAUGUAAUUCUGACUGAAAUUUUAUUUCACCAGGAUUUAUGCAGUUAACGUCUCUUUUUGUAAAACAGACGUUUUUUUUAACAUAAGGUGAAACGUGGAAGCUAUUGAUUAAUAUCUUAAAAACAUCCAAAAGCUACUAAAAAUCGAAGGCAUUGAUACUUUAAGAAACCCGCUGAACAGUAGAAUGGGGUGAUACGGAGGACCUCUAUAAAUGGUCAUUUUGGUUUGUGAAGUAUUUAUAUUUAAAAAUGCAAAAGUCGAAAUUGAAAUGAAUGUAUAAUACGAAGGACUAUUAAUGUAAAUUUUAUUAAAUAGUAACGAUUUGUGAAUAACAACACUCUAAAUUAUCUCAGCGCAUUUGUUCUUAUGUUCUCUAUUAUCUGUUUGUGUCUCUGUUUUUAUUGAGAUUUUAUAUUUAAUGUCACUUUUUAUUUUUUAUAUAAAGACCCAAAGUAAUAUCAUUACUAUUUUCGUAAGUAGAAGAAGUAGAUUUGUAUUUGAUUUCAUUAGUCUGAUUUUUGGCAUUUAUAUCACAUGGCCCAAAAAAGUAUCACGAGAUGGGAAAAGAUAUAGAUAGUAAGACUUGCAAGUCUUUCAACGUCUAAUUUGGGGCAAUGUUUCUUCUUUCAUGGAAAUGGAAAUUUCAUACUGUAUGAUAUGCCCCAUACAAGCAGACCACCAAUUUGAGUCACUCACUUGGAAGCCUUCAUGUUCACACUUCACAGGGAGACUAUAUAAACCCUAGCCUCAUGAAUCUAAAAAUCAUCAGUUAAGUAUUUAAUUUACAUUAUGAAUCCUUGUGUUUUUAUAAUGUUCUCGAUUCUCUUGCUGACUACAACUACCAGCCAAUUAGUACCGGUGGGAGGAGAUGAUAUUGGAGGUGUUGAUAUGAAAAAGUGUUUGGAUAAGGAGAGAGAUGCCCUCCUUCUUUUCAAAGCUCCCCUUCAAGACCCUGAUGGUCGUCUCUCUUCAUGGACAGCUGAGGAACAUGACUGCUGUAAAUGGAGUGGAAUCACCUGCAACAACCAAACAGGUCAUGUCACAGAGCUUGAUAUGGGCUUCUAUGGUCUUGGAGGUGAGAUAAGCCAUUCAUUGCUUAACUUAACCUACUUGAAUCAUCUUCAUCUUUCAGGAAAUUCUUUCAAUGGAACCAUUCCCACCUUCAUUGGUUCUAUGACUGAAUUGAGGUACCUUGACCUUUCCUUUAACUCUCUUUAUGGAACCAUUCCUCCAGAGUUUGGAAACCUCACCAACUUGCAAGACCUUGAUCUUGAUUCUGUUGGAAGGUGUAGAGUUGAAAACAUAGAGUGGUUGUCUCAUCUCUCUCAUUUGGAGUGGCUAAGAAUGGAUGGGAUUUCCCUAGCCAAACAAAAUCACUGGGUAGAUGUAAUUCUGAGUCUCCCAAAACUAACACAUUUAUCUUUAGGUGGAUGUGAGCUGUCACAGGUCGUGUAUCCAUAUUCUUCUUCAUUUCUCAACUCUUCUUCUUCUUCUUCUUCAUCUAUUGAGUUCCUUCAUCUCGGAAACAACAGUCUGACCUCAUCCAUGUAUCGCUGGUUGUUCCCCUUAACCAGCAAUAACCUUAGGACUCUUGAUCUCCUUGGCAACAGGUUAGAUGGGAUACCCAGAUACCUUGGUAACCUCUGUAGUCUGGAAAGUUUGGACUUCUCUUACAACUCGGCUGCUGUCAAAUUUCCUGAUUUUCUCAACAACUUGUCUGGAUGCACAUCCCUUUCAUUACAAAAGUUGGGCCUAUCUGGUAAUCAGUUAAAUGGAAGUAUAAGUGAGAAACUGUGGGAACUACCCAGGCUCCAAACUCUUUACCUUUCUUCUAAUAAUCUUACAGUUCCUUCCACAUAUCACUUGUCAAACAUCUCUUAUGUUGAGUAUCUUUAUCUGAGGUCUUGCAAGCUGCUAGGGCCUCGCUUCCCCAAAUGGAUUCAGACACUCAAAAAUCUUAUUGAUCUUGAUCUUUCCAAUACUGGAAUUUCAGACACAAUUCCUUUGGGGUUUUGGGACAUGUGGCCUUCUCAAUUAAAAUAUCUGGAUCUGUCUUCCAACAACAUUAGCGGGAAACUACCAGAUUUAUUAUCAAAUUUUGCCCAUGGUUCAACGAUAGAUUUGAGUUCCAACAGCUUUUGUGGUCCGAUACCGAAUGUUCCUUCCACUUUGUUUUCAUUAAAUCUUUCCAGAAACAAAUUCUCUGGAGGAAUCUCAUUUAUAUGCCAAAUUGUUGAUGGGUUGUUAGAAUUUCUUGACCUCUCUCAUAACUCAUUCAUCGGACAACUCCCGGACUGUUUGUGGCAUUUCAAUCAACUAAAAGUUCUUAAUCUCGGACACAACAAUCUCUUUGGAAGUCUUCCUCCCUCUAUUGGAUCUUUGAUACAACUCAAAGUGUUGUAUUUGUACAAGAACAACUUCUCUGGAGAAUUGCCUUUCUCUUUAAAAAAUUGCACAAGUUUAAUCUCUUUGAAUUUGGGGGCCAAUAAGUUUUCUGGUAAUGUGCCUGUCUGGAUUGGGGAAAACUUAUCAAAGUUGUAUGUUCUUAUACUAAGAUCAAACAAAUUCUUUGGAACCAUCCCUUUACAGUUAUGUCAGUUACCUAAUCUUCAAGUUUUGGACUUGUCAAUGAACAAUCUCCAUGGAACCAUCCCCUCAUGUUUGAGUAAUCUUACAAACAUGGUUCAACAAGGAGGAUUCUCACAAGAUGUAGAAUAUUU
rnacentral:lncRNA from 1 species